rnacentral:lncRNA from 1 species
CAAGGAGAGCUUUUUCCUUAAGAUCCUUAACUAGGAUGAAAGUUUGCUUAAUACAAAAUACCUUGGUUACAAAUAUGAGCAUCUGGCAACUUAUACGUAAUAGCAAGUCUUUUACCAUUAGCUCCAAAAAGAUUUUUUCUUAUUUUUUCAUUAAGUUGAGUACGUACUAGACCUUCUUGUAGGCAAUUCAAAGCUGCUCCUGAAUCAAUCAAAGCAACAAUAUCAAUGGCAAAUUUAUUCUUAAUUACUAUAGUAAGAGAGACUUCCCACCUUUAGAAAAUAACCCUACUAAUAGUAUUCAAGUAUACAUCUGCCUCUUCAUUAUUAGCUUGUGAAGAUUCUGGAACGUCUUCAAGGUUCUCCUCAUUAUCAACAAGAUUUCUUACAAUAAUCCUAUUGAUUUGUUCUUGGAGGUCAGAAAAACCUAAGCUUGUGAAUUGUCUUAAAUCUUUAAUUUCUUUCUUAUACUACCUUACUUCUUCUUGAAGAUCCUUAAGGUUUAUGUCUUUGGUAGACUGCUAGUUAAAUCUAGUUAAGAUUUCACUUAAGUUAUAAGGAUUUACUAUUGUCUUAACUUCUUGCUUACUAACAGAUUUCUUAAAGACAUCAUAAAGGUCUUGCUUAGUAUUUUCAUCUUCAACUUUCCUUAAAACAUCUAGGACAAGUUCUUGAUCUUGGCUUAUGACAUUUAUAAUCUUAAGUUGGCAAUCACAAUUACUCUUAAUGCAUUCUUCUUGGUCACUAGAAGUUUGGCUUGAGAUUUCUUCACUACUACUAUCUAGUAGGUUAAUGUCAUCUUCAUUAUUUGAAUCAGUCCUUGAUUCAGACACUGUGGGGUUUAACAUAUCUUUUAAGUCUUCUGCAACAUUUAAGUUAUUAAUUUUCUGCUUAACCCUACAAUCUUUCUUAUAGUGGCCUUCUUUACCACACUUAAAAACAAACUGACUUAGCCUGUGAAGAGGGUUCUAGCUUUUUCUGGGCUUCUUUGUUCAUCAUUCUUUGGAUGUGCCUUUGUCUCUUGGUUUCAUUCAUCCUAUAAUUGCCAUAAGUUCCUCAUUUACUGUGAUAAAACUUUUCCUUACUAGCUUUCUACUUACUUGUUUAUUGAUAAUCCUCAUAUCAGUCUGGUUAGGAGGUUCCUUAAAAAUCUUAAUUAGUUCAUCAGUCUCUGCUUCAGAACUAAUUUCACCUUUAACCAUAUUGAUUCUCCUGUGAGAAGGUUGAGGUGUCUUAGGGACAACAAGGUUUUCCUUAACCUUUUGGCUUAUCCUAUCAAUAAGGGCUCGAUCAAUAUGGGGAUUGUCUAGGAAUUUCUUAUAGAAUUCAAAAGGCUUAAAUAAAGGUUUAUUAUCUUUCUUAACAAACGUAGUCUUAAUGUGGUCUUGUGUUUCAAUGAUCUCCUCAAACCUGUUGAGUUGAUCGCCUAUGGUCUUAAGAAACAUGUUAGUGUAGUUGUUCUGUUCCAUGAUUCUUCUAACGUCAACAGUACUAGCAGUUCCUUCAUCCUCUGGCUUAGUCUUAAAAGGUGAAGCUUUGACUAUGGUGCCAUUAAUGUUCUUUUUUAUCUUAGCUUCUAGAUGAUGGAUGGAUUCUAUGACAGUAUCGUCACUAGUUUUCCAUAUCUUAGUUUUUGUUGAUGUGUAAUUGACACGCUUACAAGGAUAAUCUGGAUGUUGCUUUUGUUUGAAGAGUUAAAACUAGAUUGAAUACUUAAUGUUCUUCUUUUCUUGUCUUAAGUAUGUGUAGAAUUCUUCUUGGUAAAGGGUUCUAGUAUCUUUAGGGACCUUGCUUAAGAACCGAACUCUCCUUUGCUUAUUGACUUCAUAAUAGAAGUCUUUCCUUAAGAGAUCCUUGUUGAUCUCAAAGUCCUCAUCACUUAAACUUACAGUGUUAAUCAAUUGGGAAUAAGUAGGAGACAUGUCAGAAGAUUCAUCCUGAUGUGAUUCUUAAGUAGACUCAUUUUCCCCAGUAUAAAAGGGUUUGGCCAAAUUGGUGUGACUUCUAACACCUGUUAGCUUAAUGACUUAGGAUUUGUUGAACUGGAUCCUUCUUCUAUCCUGGUAGUUCUUACUGGGAUAGAUGAACUUGAAGUUCUAGAGGGCUCAUAAUCUGAAAUUCUAAAGCUACUAGAAUGACAAAAAGAGUUGGAGAAAAUUAGAUCUCCUCCUCCAUCAGGAUAUUGAACAAUCUAUAUAUAUCACUACAAGAAAUAGGAUUUUUGGUGACGGUUCCAACCGUCACCAAAUCUUAUAUAUCCGUAACCAAAACCUAUUGUCACGGUCUUAUGAAACCGUGACCAAGCGUCACAGUAUGAGGCGUAGCUAAAAGUAUUGGUCACGGUUUCCUAAGUGAUCGUGACCAUAUGAUUUCCUUUUUUGUGACGGCCAUACAAAAACUGUGACAAAAAAAGUUAAGAAUACUUUGCUACUUAUUAAGUUGAUUUAGUCACGAUCAGGUAAUAAACCGUGACCAAAUGUAAUCUUAUGGUCACGGUCAAUGUCCUUGACCGUGACUAAAUGUAACCUUAUGGUCACGGUUAAUGCCCCUGACCGUGACUAAAUGUAACCUUGUGGUCACGGUCAGUGUCCCUGACCGUGACUAAAUGUAACCUUAUGGUCACGGUCAGUGUCCCUGACCGUGACUAAAUGUAACCUUAUGGUCACGGUCACUGUCCCUGACCGUGACUAAAUGUAACCUUAUAGUCACGGUCAGUCAUCGUCGAUUUUUGCCAAUUGAUCAUAGAUUUCGACGUGAUAAAAAGUCCUUUGAUGGAAAUGAAGAGCAUAGAGCAGCACCUAAACAAUUGUCUGGGGAAGAUGUCCUACAUCAAUUAGAUGGAAUGGAACAUAUUACUUUAGGGAAGACAUCAAAAAAUAAGAUGUCAGCAAAAAGAAAAAGAGAACAUGUUGAACUUGAGCAUAAUUGGAAAAAAAAAAAAAGCAUAUUUUUCCAAUUGCCAUAUUGGAAAACCCUCAUUUUACGUCACAAUUUGGAUGUAAUGCAUAUUGAAAAGAAUAUAUGUAACAGUAUAGUUGGCACCUUGUUGAGUAUUGAUGGUAAAUCGAAAGAUAACUUCAAUAGUCGUCUUGACUUGCAAGCUAUGGGUAUCAGAGAUCAACUUCACCCCAUACAAAGAGGGAAUAGGGUUAUAUUGCCUGCUGCAUGCUAUUCACUAACUUCAAAUGAAAAAAAGGAAUUCUGUAAAUUUUUGAAAGAAGUAAAGGUUCUAGAUGGUUAUGCUUCUAACAUCUCUCGGUGUGUACAAGUGAAUGAAAGAAAGAUAUUUGGAUUGAAGUCUCAUGAUUGUCAUGUUCUCAUGCAACAACUCCUUCCACUUGCAAUUCGAGGAGUUCUACAUAAGAAUGUUUGUGCUGUUAUAGUUGAACUAUGUAGUUUCUUCAAACAGUUGUGUUCUAAAGUGUUAAAGACUGAUCAAUUGGAGCACUUUGAGAAUGACAUAAUAGUCACACUUUGCAAAUUAGAAAGAAUAUUUCCUCCAUCAUUCUUUGAUGUUAUGGUGCAUUUAUCUAUUCAUCUUGCAAGUGAGGCAAAGGUUGCUGGACCAGUGCAAUAUCGAUGGAUGUAUCCUAUCGAGCGGUAUGUUCUCAUUCAAUUAAUCUUAUGGAUAUUAGGUUUCAUAUAGUUCAUGAAACAAAUCUAUCAUAUUGUGAAAUGACAGGUAUUUACGUACAUUAAAGUCUUAUGUCCGUAAUAAGAGUCGUCCAGAAGGUUCUAUUGCAGAGAGGUACAUAGCAGAAGAAUGUACAACCUUUUGCUCAAGAUAUUUGCAUGAUGUUGAAACGAAGCAUGACCAUGAAGAAAGAAAUUAUGUCAUUGAAAAUAACAUAACAAAUGGUGGAGGGUUAACCAUUUUCAAAUGCAUGGGACGUACAAUAGGGAAGUCAACAUCUCGUGUUCUUAGCACAGAAGAAUGGUCCCAAGCACAUUUAUAUGUGUUGACUAAUUGUGAGGAAGUGACGUCAUUUAUUGAGUAAGACACUUAUUUGAAUAAAACUUUAUACUAAUUCUCAUACAAAAAUUUAAUUUUGGUCUUUGUGAGCAUUAUAAUUAAUUUUUUCUUUUUUAUCAGAGAGCAUAAGCAAUCUAUAAGGGUUAAGCCUCGUAUUCGUGCACGAGAUGUAGAUUUGAUUCUCACAAGAGAAUUCAUUAGUUGGUUUGAAGAACGUGUAAGUUCAUUCACUACAUAAAUUGUUCUAUUAUCUAAUACACAUGUAUGUAUUAACAUCUUAUAUUUGAAUCUAUAGAUUAUACAAAUGCGACAUGAAGGUCCAAUUUCUGAACACAUACUAUCAUUGUCUCGUGGACCAAGUACAUCAGUUACAUGUUAUAAAGGAUACAUCAUUAAUGGGUUCAGAUUUCACACAAGAGAACGAGAAAAGGGGAAAAAAACUCAAAAUAGUGGAGUUGUUGUGACCGCAGAGGUAUCAAGCUUUGCAAGUGCAAGAUAUAAGAACCCAAUUCCUGGUCAUGUUUCUUACUAUGGUGUGCUAACUGAUGUAAUUGAGUUACAUUACCUUGGUGGAAAUAGAGUUAUUUUAUUCAAGUGUGACUGGUGGGAUGUAAUCAAUAGUGGAAGGGGAAUAAAAAAGGAUGAAUAUGGGUUCACGUGUUUGAAUUUUGAACGUACCAUAUGCAUAGAUGAGCCAUUUGUGCUUGCAUCUCAAGCAAAACAAGUCUUCUAUGUUCAAAAUUCAAAUGAGGAAAAUUGGCACACCGUUGUAGAGAUACAAACUCGAGGGGUUUAUGAUAUGAAUAAGAAAGUAUCUACUAAUGAUCCAGAGCCAUAUCAACAGUUUAUAACACCUCAUAGUCAACGUGAUGUGCAUGAGUUGGCCGAGAAUGAUUUAAUCAAUUGGGAUAGAAGUGAUAUUGCAGGAGAAACUAUCCAAACAGAUGUUCUACUAUCACGACAAGAAAACAUUGUUGAAAGACAUAAUGAAUUUAUUCAGGAUGAUGUGUAGCUAAUAAUAUUGGUAAGUACAUAAAUAUAUACUUACAAAAUAUACAAAUUGUAAUUUAUUUCAUAUUAUUUUUGUAACUUAUUUUGUAUUACUUUUUCUAAUUUACUUUAUUAUGUAGGAAAUGUCACAUCGAAGAGGAAGAGUACAAAUAGUGUCUCCAGAAGAUGAGUUGGACAAUCUACAACUCUUAGACAUACAACCUGCUGCAACUACUACUCCUAGUAGUUCUGAUCCUUCCGAUUCUUCAGAUCCUUCAGUUGUUGGUAUGAUUAAGAAAAUUAUGUUUAACUUUACAUAUGAUAAAUUUACAUAUGUUUAAUUUCUUGAAUGAUAGGUUUUUAAUGUUUAAUUUUAUAUAAGAUAAGUAAAUUAUGUUUCUUUUAAUUUCAUUAUUACUCUUAAUAGGUUCAUCCUCUAGCAAAAAGAGGACACGUGGCCCAACACGUAACUUAGAUUUACUUAGUAUGAAACCUGGGGAAAAAAAAACUACAAGAUUCAAUACCAGAGGGCAAGUUGUUUAUGAUGGAAAAGGGGAAAGAUUGUCAAGCUAUAUGGGAACAUUGGUGCGAUCUCAACACAAUGUGCCCAUCCAAGUUCAAGAUUGGAAUCAUGUUAGUGAAGAUGUGAAGGAAAAGAUUUGGGCCUUAGUAUUGGUAUAUGCUAGUUACUAUUCAAUCUAAAUUGUAAUGUUAUUGUUUAAAAAUGAUACCUCUUAUUUAUACAUGACAUUUUAAUGCAAUACAGGAAAAAUAUGAACUAGAAGAAACAUGUAAGAGCUACAUUCUUCAAUGUUGUGGAAAUUUGUUUAGAAGCUAUAGAAAUAAAAUGAAGGCCAAGUAUUAUAACCCUUAUAAUACAGAUGAGGAGAGAUUGUGUCAUCGACCUCCACACUUAUCAGAUGAUGAUUGGAGGUGGCUCAUCCACUUUUGGGGUACACCUGAAGCCAAGGUAAAGAUAAUGAUCUUUUCUUGAUAAUGUAUCUUAUGAUACUCAUAUUCACAUAAAAUUAUAUUUAUUAGUUAUAUCUAACCUAAUACUUCAUGUAUAUAACUUUUAUUAUGUUUCUAUUAUCUAUAUAGGUGACUUGCUAUUUUUUAAUUGAUGUAGGAUAUCUCAGAAAAAAACAAGGCAAAUAGGGCAAAGCAAGUGAUAAAGCAUACAUCGGGAUCAAAAAGUUAUGCUCAAAUUCGAUAUGAACAGGUUGAAAAUUUAUUAUUAAUAUGAUUUGUUUGUACAUAAAUAAUUUAUCAUAAAUAACUCAAUUGUUUUACUUGUAAGAAUAGGCACAAAAGAAAGAGGAUCGAAGUGAGCCCAAUAGAAUUGAGAUGUUUGCCUUGACACACACAAGAAAAGAUGGGACACCUGUUGAUGAUCAUUCUAAGGAGAUUAUGGUAAUGAAGUAAAUAAAUUUUAUAUACUUGUAUUUCAAUCAUAGCCACAUACUAAAUUAUUUUAAAAGUUUAACAAUUUUUGUUUUUUUUUAUAAUUCCAGGAUCAAUUUCAGCAAUUACUAUCCCAACCUGAGGGGACAUCUUCUUCUACUUCUGCAUCAUCUGGAGCAUCUACAUCUGUAUCAUCUACAUCUGUAGCAUCUACAUCUGUAGCAUCUACAUAUGUAGAUGAGAUAUAUACUCAAGUCAUGGGUCUAGAGAGACAUGGUUGUGUUCGAGGGUAUGGAUUUGGUCCUACUCCUACCUCAAUCUUUGGUUCUACUAGUAGAAGGCGAUCAGGAGUUAUUCUUUCAACACAAAUUGAAAAUGCCCAAGAGAUGCUAAUAGCUGCAGAACAAAAGUUUACAACUGCAACUGAAGAACUCUCAAAUGUGAAAGAGGAACUCUCACAUGUGAAAGAAACAUUUGAAGAGAGGUUGAUAGAAGUUCAAAGGAAGACACGAGAAGAAGUGAAAGAAGAGUUUGAAGAAAAAAUGAUGGAAAUGCAAAGAAAAAUGCAAGCACAAAUUCAAGAACAGAUGAUGCAAAUGAUGCAACAAUUUCAGCAAAAGCAGUAGAAAUUUGAAGAUUUUGCUACAUCUUUAUAUGAUAGAUGCUCUUAACUUUUUUGAAGAUUAUGCUACUUAUUUAUAUGAUAGAUUCUCCUAACUUUUUUUGCUUUCUAUGACUAUUGUGUGAUGUUUGGUUGGUUGAUUUGUUAUAUUAUGUUAGAAUAUGAAACUAAAUUUGAAUCUCUUUGUUAUUUGUUUGCUUGGUUUUUUUUUUUUUUUUGUUAUAUCAUGUUUUUUUUUUAUUUAAUGACUUAUAUUGAUAUAUAAGUUUUUAACUAGCUUGGGAUAAUUGAUUGUAAUAUAUUGAAAUUGUUUUAAUUGCAUAUACAGGUCUAAAAUGGGUUUGUUUGGGUUUAUAACAGGUUUGGGAAAUUUGAAUUUAUAAAAAAACCAAUUUCCAAAUAUAACAAAUUUUAGUCACGGCCACAAAAAAUUUGUGACUAUAAGCGUAUUUUAGUCACGAUCAGUAAUGAAUCGUCACCAAAAUUUGGGGAUAGGGCGGCCAUCCAUGAUUAAUUUCAGUCACGGUCAUUAGUAGUCGUGACCAUAAGUGUAUAUUUUGUCAUAAUAGACCUAACAAUUAGUCACGGUCAAUUAAUUACCGUGACCACAAGGUUACAUUUAGUCACGGUCAGGGACAGUGACCGUGACCAUAAGUACUCCAACCUUAUUACAAAUAGGACAAGCAAAUUUCCCUUUAGUACUCCAACCUGAAAGAUUUGCAUAUGCAGGAAAAUCAUUGAUGGUCCAUAAUAUAGCUGCACGCAUACAAAAAUUUUGUUUUGUUGAAGCAUCAUAUGUUUCAAGUCCAACGUCCCAUAAGUCAUUCAACUCAUCUAUCAAUGGUUGUAAGUAUAUGUCAAUGUCAUUCCCAGGUGCAGUUGGACUAGGAAUAAGUAGUGACAACAUGAAGAAUGUUUGUUUCAUACACAUCCAAGGUGGUAAGUUAUAUGGAAUAAGAACUACAGGCCACAUGCUGUAUGAAAUUGACAUAUUCCCAAAAGGAUUGAACCCAUCACUUGCUAAACCGAGCCUAACAUUUCGAGGUUCUAGUGCAAAUGAAGGGUGUACGUUAUCGAAGUUUUUCCAAGCCAAAGAGUCCACUGGAUGCCUCAUCAUCUCACCUUCCAUGCGACCAUCAACAUGCCAUUUCAUGUGAGAAGCUGUCUUAGAUGACAUAUAUAACCUUUGAAGUCUUGGUUUUAAAGGAAAAUAACGCAAGACCUUAGCAGGAAUUUUCUUUUUCUUUGCUGAAUUAGUGAACUCAUCUGUAGAAUGCUCAUCACUUGAUUUCCAUCUAGAGACACCACAAACGACACACUCAUUUGCAUUUGCAUACUCUUUUGAAUACAACAUGCAAUCUGAGGGGCAUGCAUCAAUCUUGAUAUAAUGAAGGCCAAGGUCACGAAGUAUUUUUUUUGCUUCAUAAUAGUUGCUUGGCAAUGUCUCACCCUCAGGAAAUGCAUCCUUCAACAAUUCAAGCAACAUUGUAAAGGACUUAUUGCUCCAUCCAUUAAGACACUUCAUAUGAAAUAAUCUUAUGAUAAAAAACAACUUUGUGAAUUUUUUACACCUUGGAUAUAGUUCCUGCUCUGCUUCUCUUAACAAAUUAUAAAAUUUGUUUGCAUCCUCAUUUGGUUUUUCAAACUCCUCAUGCACAUGUCGACUUCUUUCAGAUUCCUCAUUUGGCAUUGGCAUUCCAAAUGCAUCAUUUAACAUUUCUUGCAUCUCAUCAUGCAUAUCAGACUCAUUAGUGCUAGUAUUUGUAGGUUCGCAAAACUCAAAUUCCCCAUGCAUCAACCAUCGCACAUAAUUUCUAGCUAUCCCAUUGUCCAACAAAUGGUCAUACAUGAUUUCUCGCUUCUGCAUAAGACAAUUAUUGCAACGAAUGCAAGGACAUGGGAGCAUUUCUUUUCCAAGUGCACUGCUAAAGGCAAAGUCUAAGAACUCCAAAACUCCUUUAUAGUAUUCACUACUUACUCUUGACUUCUGCAUCCAACUCUUAUCUAUUGGCAUUUUUCUCGUACUUCCGCAAAUUAAACCCUUCAAUCACAUAACAAUGAAUCUUCAUAUCAACUUAUAAUGAAUGUGAUAUGUUUUUUAUCAUCUCAAAUUCUUAUAUUUGGUAGUGGUUCCUAUCCCAUUUAGAAAUACAUAAUCCCUAUGAAUCAAUCACUAACAUGCUUAGUUUCAUUUUGAUAAAAUUUCGGCAGCAUUUCCCCAUAGUUCUCCAAGUACACGAAUUGGCUAAGGUAUAAACAUACCUUCUCCAAAUAUGCACCCAGAGAACAAGGGGAAUCACUGUCAAAACUUAUCAAUAUGCUAAAGCAUAGGCGUGUGAUUUCAUAGAUAUUAUGUAUUUCCAAACUGUCCAAACGGACAAUUCAAGCAUCAUUUGCAGACAAUUCUACCAAUCAUAUACAAAACACAUAGGUUGAAAACUUGAAUAUGACCACAAUAAAUAAUCAUAUCCACAAUUCUACAACUUAUCUAUUUUUAGUAUAUGAUAAAAGAGACAUUUGUCAAGCAAGGAUACUUGAACGGGAUUUCUAGGGUUUUCUAAAAUGAAAAUGAGUAAAUGAUAAAAUUAAUGACAAAUAAUAUUAGAAAAGAAAUAGAUAAAAACACACAAUGAGACUGACACAUUCGAUAAUUUAUAGAAAUGAAUAACUAAUAUUUCUAUUGCAUAAAAUCAACGAGGGUUAGUUCACAGAUAACAAUAAUAAAAUAUAAAAUCAUAGAUAAGGUCUCACAAUAGAUGCAACUUUAUACAAGUGCCAAGGAUUAAAGAUUGAGUGAUAGGGUGGAAGAUUAUAAGGUUUAUGAGAUUCUUACAUCAAUUGGAAUAAGAUCUAGGAGAUGUUUUUACUUUCAUUAUUGAUAGAUUUAGUAGUCUUGGGAUCUAGAGAACAUGCACCCUUGAUCCUAUUCCUAAUACCAUGGACAAGGUGUGAACAAGUUAAGGAAGAGUUUGAAUUAGAAAAAUAUCAAUCUAAGAAGAUUAGGGUUGGCGUGUGUUGAAAGUACGAGCAACUUGUUGAAACUUGAACUUGUAUAUUAUUAUUAUUAUUAUUAUUUUAUUUAAAAUGUAAAAAAUAUGAAAAGGAUAAUAAAGGAAUUUUAACCUUUUCUUUUUAUAAUUGUACUAUGCUAAUAAAUUUAUCAUUCUUUUAUAAUUAUUAAAAUAUUUUAGAAUAUUGAAACUUGAGGUUAGAGUUGUCAUUUAUAUUAAACUAGUAACGAAUAAUAUAAUUGAUAGUUUUGAGACAUUUAACUUUAAAAUUUUUAUUCUAUAAUAUGACUUAUAUUUUAUUAAUUUGAAAUAAAUAUUUUAUUUAUCAAAAGUUCUAUUAUAUACAUUUUGUUUGAUAACCCUUGAAAACUAACAAGUACUUAUUGGAGCCCCUAUUGCCUAUUAGCUUAACACGGGUUGAAACUUCUCGAUUCAACUUCAUAUUAGGCUUAGAAUAGAUUGGACCUUUUCGAUUCGACCUUAUAUUAGGUUUAGAAUAGGUUGGACAUAUGAAUCAAUAGAUUUGACACAGAUUAACCUUCAGACCCAUUCAACCCAUCCGAGUUAUAACCAUAGCUUAAAAAAAAAAAAAAAAAAAAAAAAAAAAAGAGGAAUUGAUUUGAGUGGCCUAUUUUUCAAAAGCUUUUAUUUUUUGUUGAUGGGCAUGGGCCCACCAAGAUUUUCUAAACAAAAAGUUUAUUUGCAACGUUCCACUUUAAGUUAAUAAGUUAACAUUGAAAUUAAGAUAUAUAAUUUCUUCUCAUAUAGAUGUAGUUACAUUUAAUAUAAUUUUAUAUAUAUCCAAUUUUUCAUUUCUUAAGAAAAAUAAUAGGACUAUUUUGGAAUAUUUUUUAAAACAAUUCUAAAAAAAAAAUUAGAAUAAUUUAAAAAAAAUAAUAUUUUAAAUAAAAAUUUAUUUUUUAUAUUUAUUAAAAAUAACUUUUAUCUAUAAUAUUUUAUCUUCAAUAUUCUAAUAUCUAUAAUAUUAGAAACAAAGUUUUAAAAAAUUUGUUUUUCUUAAUUAAAAAAAGCGAUUUAAGAUACUUUUUCGAUAAAUCUAAUGACAAAAGAUAAUUUGUACGUACCCCAAAAGCACUUCCCCGAGCUUAGGAGAAGAUAAGGAUAAGAAAAGAGGAGUAAGCAUGUUAUUAUUGAAAGUGUUUUUUUAAAAUAAAUUUUUAGUAUUAUCUAAGAGUAAAACUAAUGGUGAUUAGAAAAUAAAAAAUAAAAAAUAAAAAAGAAAGAAAGAAAUAAUCAUAACAAUGGAUGCAAUCAAUUGAGAAUCUAAGACAAUUCAUAAUUCAUACUUUUUACGGUUGUACUUAGGAGAAGAAUCACAAGAUUAACUAUUGCAAUAUUAUAACUCUAAUAUCAAGUUGCACUCCAAGAGAGAAUUUAAUAUCAAGGCUUCUCAUUUAUAAUUUCCCACAACAUAACAAAAUUCCCCUAUUUUUACUGGAAGAUAAAUAAGGAUUUCACAUAAUUCGACAUUAUCUCUAAAAAAAUAAAAAUAAUGGCUAAAACAACGUAAAUGAUUAAUUAAAUCACAAUAUAUGCAAUAUUAUAUUUGAAAAAGGAGAUUAAGAUUUUUUUAAAAAAAAAUUAUAGGCUUUAUUUUAAAUAAUUGUCUUUUACAAAAUUAAGAUAAAUAGUAAUAAUAAUAAGAGAUAUUGAUAAGUUUUUAAAAAAAUUAACAAAUAAGGAUUAAAAAAUAAAGAACUUGUUAUAGUACAAACCUAUCACAUUUUAAGAUACAUAUUGGAAAUAUAAAUUAUAUUAUAUAAUUAUUAUUUUCAAUAUGAAAAAUAUCUUAGUUACUAUGAUUUAUCAUAAUAGGAAAGUGAAAUAUUAUUGAAGGUAAAGAUACCCGAAAAAUCCUAUCUCAUUAUCAACCCUAUUCCCAAUAUUCUCCAUCUAUUCAUUGUAUUUUUAAUUAUUUCUUAAAAUACCAUAAAAAAAUAUUUUAGGCACUUUAAAUUUAUUUUUAAAAUUUUAUUUUGUUUCAGAUAUAUAUAUAUAUAUAUAUUAUAAUACGUUGAUUCUUGGAAUAAAAAAACACUAGUUUCAGCACAAAAUUCUUCCAAUGUGAUUUUAAAAAUUGAAGAACUUUUUUUCUUUUUGAAGAAUAAAAACUGAUUUUAACCCCCUUCCAAAAUGAAAGCUAAUGGUAGGCAAUUGCAAUAAUCACACAAGUUCACAACAUUCCUUAAUUGAUGCCCAGAAAUUGCACUUUCAGAUGAAAAUUAGACUAGAUUUUUAACCUCAAUUCUGUUCUGGAAAAACAAUUCCUCAACAAGAAACCCUAUGUCACGCCCCAAGACCCACUCCAAGGGCGUGACGGUCAUUUCACACCUCAAACCCGAAGGCUUAAAGUAUAAUCUGACCCAAACAGUCAUAUUGUAACUGGAUGUUACCAAUUACCAAAUACCUGCUCAGAGUAGCGGAAACAAAAUCUAAAAUCCUCAAAAUUCAAUUUCCAAAUAACUUCCAAAUACCAAAUGAUCCAAAAUAACAUAACUAAUAGUUAAACAAAAAUCCAACAUAAAAUCCUAAGUCAAAUCCUAAUGAUGACCAUUCCUCAGCCUAGCCAUCACUCCUCACCCGAACUAAGAGUACCUGAAAAAAUUUCAACAAUUGGGGAUGAGCUCACAGCCCAAUAAGGAAUAUUAAUGCAGUUCAUGGAUCAAAUAUUUUCAUUUCAAAUAGGAUAUAUCAUUUUUUUUUUCUCAUCAAAUAUCAGAGUUUCAAAAAUACCAAUAUAUUCAAAAUUCAACCAACCAAUUUCAUAUCAAAUUCAAACACUUUCACAUAAGAUUCAAUCAAAUCCAUUCAAUUUUUCAUUACUCUGGUUAUCAAAUAUCAAAUGCCCAGUUAUGUGGGACUUUUCAAAUGGGUGGCUAGCCUCAAAUUGUUCCUGGUGGACGGAACCAAACACUACUAGUACUAGUAACCUCUAACCAAACCCCUAGAGGCUGGGGUCCAAAUCAAUUACAUUCCCACCAUGAAAUGUAAAGGUCAACUAUUAUAUCCCGUUGACAGGGCCGAAUAGUCAACUAUUAUAUCCCGUUGACAAGGGCCAAAUAAACCAGAGUGAUGUUUUUGUUCAAGUAUUCAAAUUUACACAACAUAAUAUCUCCAUAUUUUGUGUCAUAAAUAAAACAAAAUAUUCCAACAUAACAUUUAGUGCAAAACAAUUUGAUCCAGCAUGGUAACAAAAUAUCAUUUUCUUUUCCACAAUUCAAAAUAACAUAUAAAAUAAUUUAAUUUUAUAAAUAUUGCAUUAACUUCCCUUACCUCAAAAGAAGUCCUUGAAAGCUUGGGAGAAAAAUAAUUCUGAAAAAAAUAUAAUCUACUCUUCACCUAAUAUAACAUAAGAGAAACAAUUAUUACUAUUUGUUUAUAAUUUAACUAAUCUAUUCCUUAUUUAAAUAAAACUAAUAAAUUCCCAAUUUGUUUCUAAUAACACAUUACCAAUUUAAUUAAAUUAUAACUUUAUUUCAUUAUAAAAUUCUAUAUAUAUAUAUAUAUAUAUAUAUUGCUAAAUCUCUUAUUCUAUUUAUUACAAAAAUACCAUUAUUACUAUCAUCUUAUUUAUUAAUCUUUAUUUUUUAUUAUCCAAUUCAAUAGCUACCUAACCAUUACUCAUUCUCGGGUACACACCAAAAAACAAGUUUUUUUUUUUUUUUUUUGCCUAAUGAUGAUUCAUUAUAUAUAUAUAUAUAUAUAUAUAUAUAUAUAUAUAUAUAUAUAUAUAUGAAAGCCUCCAUAGCCCUCUGUCACGCCCCACUUACUUUUUUUUUCUUUUUUUCUUUUUUUCCUUCCUUCUUCCUUCCAGUGUGCACACGCGUCUCUUCUUUUCUUAUUAUUAUUAUUUUUUUUUUUAUUAACUUUUUCUAAUCUCUUCCACCACAAAUAACAAUAUAUUUAUUUACUCUUUUUUUUUUUUUAAAUUAACCCUAAUCUAAAAUCAAAACCUUCCAAGGAACCCUUUUUUUUUUUUUUUUUCAUCUAAUAAAACUUAAGAUCUCCUAAAUUCCAAUACUAAAAUCAAAAUCUUAGAUUUUCACUGUUUGAUAUUAAAACAAAUAAAAAAAUAAUCUAACCCUAAUCUAGAUUUGGGGUUUUCCAAAAAAUAUAUCUAAUGUGUUUGAAAUUAAUCAAUGAAUCUAAAAUAUUAAACUAGGGGUUACAAUCUUACCUAUAGAGAUCUGUUCUUCAACCCUGAAAUCUGACUCCAACCUUACGUUCUCUGGAAUUCUGCGAACAGGAACUCUAUUCAGAAAAGAAGGGAAAUAAUAAAAUUUCUAAUUUAUACCUAGGGUAUUUAUUCGUAAAAUUACACUUUUACCCCUCUUCCACUUUAUUAAAUUAAUUAAUUAACUAAUUAAAUUAUUAAUAACAAUUUCCUAAAUUACCCUUAAAAGAAAAUGCUUGGGCGUUACACCCUAGCUGAAGAAAAAAAAGCUCAAUUUACCAACCAUUUAACCGAACCCUCAAAGAUAACGACAGAGCAGGAAUUCCUCGAGAGGUAAGUGAAAUACCUGGAGUUUCCUAACAGCAACGUCCUCGGAAUUUCGCUAUUUGAGUGUGUUUGGGGAAGUAUUUGGGACCUUCUAAUAUAAUUUGAGAAUUUAAAAGAAAAAACAAACAAAUAAUUUGAGAGAACCCUUGAAACAGGAAACAACCUUUUCAUGAAUUGAAAAUAGAAAAGAUUAAUAAAGUAUAAAUUUCAUGGGAAGAUGGCUCCAGUUCACGCUAAAACUGAACAAACACAAGUAAUUUCUAGAUCUAAAAAACUCGAAGACAUAAAAUAAGGAAAUAUCGAGAUCUUACCCAAAAAUCAAAUCAAGGCAAUAAUCGAUCCCCAAACUUCUGUAGCUUCAGUGAGUGAUACUCAGUUGUAGAACCCUACCGGAGAAAGAAAAAAGGCCCCAUUUGUUGAUUGGGGGAAAGAUGGGGAGAAGUUGUCUUGAAAGGCUUUAAAGGAAGGUGGUGUUUCCGCAGUCUGCUGGUAUCAUAACUCAUCACCUUAUGUGAGCUUUUUCAUUUCUCUGUUGAAAACGUGCGAGUCCGAAGGCCCCAUUUGACAUCCGUUUCCUUUAAAAAAGGCAUUUUGGAAAAUAAAUAAUAAUAAUAAUAAAUCUCACAUCUGAUCUACUUAUGAUGCAAGGGUGACUUAUCUUAAAUUCUUGUUCAGUAGGAUGUAUAUAUAUAUAUACAUAUAACUGUGAUUAUCGGAAAAUACUAAGAAAAAAAAAUAUUUUAAAAAAUAAUUUUCUUAUGUUUUGAUUGUGCUAUAAAAAAUAUUAAAAAAAAUCAAAUAUAAUUAAAACUACUUAAAAAAUUAUAUAUUUUAAAAUUAUUUAAUAUGAGUUAAAAUAAAUAAAAAUAAUUUAUUGGAUUUUAAUCUAUUUUUUAUUUUAAUUUUUUUCUUUAUAUCUUCACUCAGAAUUUCUUGGAACCAAAUAUAAAUGAAGAAACCUUUAAAAAAAUAAUAAAAAAUAAAAAAUUUACCCCUUGAGAAUUUGAAUUUUUAAAAAGUAAAAAUUGUUUUUUAUUAAAUGUUAUUGAAAAAAAAUAAAACAUUUACUCUUUAUAUUAAUAUUUUAUGUUAUUUUUAUAGAAAAUUUAGUCUUAUUUAAUUAUUUAUAGUGUUUAUUAUUAUUUUUAAUCACGAGAGAUAAUAUGAUAUAAUAAAAUAUUUUAAAUUAUAAAUAAUAGCUAAUCAAACUUCUAUAAACUACUCAUAUUUUAUUUUAGGUUUUGAUGAUUAUGACAUUAUUUCUAUUUGGUUAUUUUUGGAAUAUAUAGUUUGAAUAUAUGUAUUAUUAGAGAUUAAAAUUUUGUUGCUUCAAAUAAAGUUUUAUAUAUAAUAGAAAAUAUAUGCUAGAAAAUUCAGCAACAUCUCUUCAUGCAAUGAGAAUUUUAAUUAAAAUAUUAAAAUAAAAUAAAAUAAAACUCAAGACCUUAAUUGCGGCCAAGCAAUGUCCACUCAUAGAUUAAGUAGCAGCCAAGGAAAAGUGGCAUCAAAAGGAAUUAAAAAAAUUUCUCAAGAUCUUAAAUUGUGGCCAAGCAUAAACUGUCCACAUCAGAGAUUAAAAACGACUUUUAAUAAAGCUAUAUAUAUAUAUAAUUUUUAAUAAUACAAUUAUUAAAAAUAUAUAUUAUAAAAUUAAUUAAUUUUAUUUAUUAAAUUUAAUUUAUAAAUAAUAUACUAAAUUUAAUAUAAGAUAAACAUUAUUUUUUAAAUAACACUAGAAAAUAUAGAUAUCAAGAAAGGUAAAUUUUAUACAAUAAUUUGAUUAUUAUAAAUAUAUAUUAUAAAAUUAAUUAAUUUUAUUUACUAAAUUUAAUUUAUAAAUAAUAUACUAAAUUUAAUAUAAGAUAAAUAAUAUUUAUAUAUUAUGUUUUUCUUUCACUUUGGAAUUAAAAAAAAAAAACUAUUAUCAAUUUUAUAUGAAAAUUGAGUUUAAAUUUUAAAGUUAAAAAUAUAAAAAUAAAACAUUAACUUUUGGCUAAAUAACACUAGAAAAUAUAGAUAUCAAGAAAGAGUUGGAAAUACAAUAAAAGUCAAUAUUUUAUUUUUAAAAGUUUUUUGUCUUAUUUAUAUUUAAUUUUUUUUUUAAUUGUAUUUAACUUUUAAAAUUUCUCAUUUUAUUGUUGAUGUUUUUAUUCAAUUUUAUUAAAGGAAAGAUGAAUGUAUUUAUAUAAAACACUAUAUAAAAUCAUUAUUAAUUAAAAAUUUUAAAAAUUAGUAUUUAUGACUUGAGCAUCUUAAUGAAUUUUUUUCAAAAUGAUUUAUAUAUAAUAUUAUAUAAGGAAAAAUUAGUAAUAUAUUGAUUUAUAAAAUACUUUUAUCAAAUUAAAAUAAUAAAUUAAUUUUUUGAUAAUUUUAUUUAAUAUUAUCAAGUAAAAUGAUAUUUUUUAAAAAUGUAUAUAUUUUAAAAUAUUUUUAAAUAGAUAAGGAUAAAACUGAUUUAUAAGAUUUUUUAUUUUUUAUUUUUUAUUUUUUCAAAUUAGUGAAUCAAAAUCCCCUUGUUUUUUUCGGAUAUAAAUCAUAUUUAAAAAAGAAUCACGUUCUUCAAAGUAAUUAAUGGGCACUGGAACCUAAUCGCCACCAUAAUUAGAAUUUGGCUUUCCACUGCCUCGUCAUUCCCAAGAUUCGCUUUCACAUGAUGGGAAAAAAAAAAUCAUUAAAUCUAUUUAUUACAAAAAUAAUGCGAGUUGGGCGGCCACAUGACAUUGAAAAAUGCGACAAAAAAGAACGUUGACCAACGUAUCAUAUGGCAAAAACAAAGAAGUAUAUAUAGAUAUAUAUUUUUAACUUUAAAAAAAAUUUAAACUCAAUUUUCAUAUAAAAUUGAUAAUAGUUUUUUUUUUAAUUCCAAAGUGAAAGAAAAAAAUAAUAUAUAAAUAUUAUUUAUCUUAUAUUAAAUUUAGUAUAUUAUUUAUAAAUUAAAUUUAGUAAAUAAAAUUAAUUAAUUUUAUAAUAUAUAUUUAUAAUAAUCGAAUUAUUGUAUAAAUAGAAUAAAGAAUGAAAAAAAAAAAUUUUAAGGUUUUUUUUUUUUUUAAGUGAGAAUUUCUCACUUUUUUUUUGUUGUGAAAAUCGUCUGUUGAAGAGACGAUUUCUCACUUACAAAUUUCUUCUCUCUCCUCGUUGGACAAAACUACAUAGAUUUGAAAUUAUUUUUUUUACCACGAUAAUUUAGGCAUUAUUUUUAAAAACUGUCAUACUCUUAUAAAAAAUCUGGUAAUUGAUGAAGGGUCGGAGUUAAGGGCUAUGCUACAAUUUGCUUGAAGGGAUUAAAGUUAGAGGGUAGAGGUGGCCGAAGUUUACCUAGAUUGGAAAAUGAAGCAAAUAAUAAUAAUAAUAAUAAUAAUAUUUAUUUUGGCAUUGGGUCGUUCGGUUCACCAAAACAUGGCAAUUUUAUUUAAAAUUUAAUGGGAAAGAAAUGGGCCACGGGGGGAUUCACUCAAUAAACAAUAUUAUCCUCUACAUUUCCAAUCAAAAAGUUAGGUCAAAUGCAGCUAAGUAGAGAUUAGGCCCCUCCUCCUCCCCCACCUUCUCAGACUAAGUUAAUAUUUUGGCUUUGGUUUUUUAAAGCUAAACUCAUAGACUUGUGGAGUAAAUGUCACUUGCAUUUAAAUUUUUUAUCAAAUAAUAUCAAAUUGAACCAUCAUAUUUUUAAAUUAAUAUAUAUAUUAAACUUUAUUUUACUUUUCAUUAAAGCAUUAAUCAUAACAAGGAAAUUAAAUAAUUUUAACUAAGGAAAAAUUAAUAAGAACUAUUAUUAUUACUAUUAAUAAUAAUUUCUAUGAUAUAUCUAUAUAUCUAUAUAUAUAUAUAUGUAUAUAUUAUCUAAAAAAUUAUAAUAGGUAACCCAAAAAUGGUUUAAAAUAAAUAAUAGACUUUGGUCACGAUUGUGUGAACCCCGUGACCAUAGGUUCAAAAUAUUUCUCUAUGUAUUUGGUCACGGUCAAUGUGAAAUUUGUGACUAUAAGUUCCCAUACAGUCACGGUUAAUCAAUAGCGUGACUAAAAUUCACAAAAAUAUAUAUAUAGUGACGGUUUCACAAAAAACCGUGACUAAAACAUCAUUUGUUACACUUUUGGUCACGAAUGAUAAAAUUACCGUGACUACAAGUAUUGGCGCCAAAAUUUCCCUCCCUAAAUUUACAAAUAGUCACGGAUUCAAAUAAAUCCGUCACUAAAAUACCCUCUCAUCAAUUCUUUUGGUGACGGUUCAUAAAAUCUCCGUGACUAAACAUGUUUUUUUUUUUCCACCAUCCUUGAUUAACACAUAUAGUCACAAUUUUACUCUGGCCGUGACAAAAUAAUAUCUUUGGUCACGAAAUUUGUGGCCGUGACUUAAAAUUCGUCAUUAAAAACCUAUUUUUUUGUAGUGUAUAUAUAUAUAUAUAUUAUGGUAACUCCGUCUUAACAUACUUUAUUUCUAAUUUGAGCUUUAUGAUUAAAUCUCGAUAAUUAAGAAUUCAUUUGGCAAGAAGUGCUAUUAAUCAGAAAAGUGUUUUUGAAAAACAAUAAAAAGUGUGUUUGCUAGCAUUUUUAUUUGAAAUAUUUUUAGUGAAAAUGUUUUUAAGAAAAUCACUUAUUAAGUAUUUCUCUAAGAAAACACUACAAAUAAUUUUUCAACAUUGUAAAUGAUUUUUCAGAUUUUUAAAAGUGUUUCUUAAAAUUUGUUAAACGUCUAAUUUUUUCUAAAGGGUAAAAAGUAACAUGUUUGUUUUUCUUUACUUUUUAAUAUUUAAUAAAAAUAAAAUAUUAAAAAAAAACAAAUAGCCUAAUACUUAACACUAUUAAGCAUUAAAGUUCUAUUCAAAAUUAAGAAGAAAAAAAACACUACCUAAGUGUUUUACAAAAUUUUGGAAACACUUUUAAAAUUUUGAAAAAUCACUUAGUGGUUUUUUUUAAAAAAAAAAUCAUUUUAUAUUUUUAAAAAUACUUUGAAAGUAUUUCUACUAAAAAUACUGCAAAUAAAAAUACUAUUAUAUACACUAUAAAUAAAAGUAAAGGAAAAUAUGACUUAGUUAUCUUUAAGUGAAAUUAAAUAUAAUAAAUAUGAUAUGGAACGAAGAAAUGGAAUUUAGAAUAUGCAAAAUGUUAAAAUUAUUUUUUAAGUAAUGACAAUUGUUCUUCAAUUUCAUAUGAAAAAAUAAGAGUGUCAAAUUUUAGUACAAGACUCCAAUACUAAAUACUAAAUAGAAUACUAUGUUUUUAUUAUUUAAAAUUGGGCCUAAAUAUGUAUUAAAAAAAAAAAAAAUCAAACAAACAUCAUCUAGAGGUUCAAUCCCCAACCAGCCCUGAGUUGCAGUAAAGUUAGAAAUGGGACAGCUUGUGCUACCUAUCCUAUUCAUUGGUCUUCACGGCAUCUUUAUAGAAAUGCUUAAAAAAUCUAGAAGAAAGAAUAGAUUAAUCUUUAUAAUGUUAAUUUUCAUUUGACUAGUCUAAAACGCGUAAACCAUUCCCUGCUCAGAUCCGUUAAAAAAUCUACAAGAAAGAAUAGAUUAAUCUUUAAAAGUCCUUCUCUUUGACACCCCAAUUUCUCCAUUAGAGUUCACAUUAAUUACUUUUCUGCCUUCAAAUUGGCUUAGGGGUUGGAUCUGGAUCUGUUAAACAUCCACUUCUGCUUCCAAAUUGCCUGCUGCUUCUUUUUCCUCUUCUUCUUCUUUAAUGGCUGCCACUUCUUCAAUGGCUGCAAAGACUGCUGCUGCUGCUGUUUCUUCUUUCACGGCUCCUUCUUCUUCUUCUUCUGAUUGGAAGUAUGGUGUGUUUCUGAGUUUUAGGGGGGAGGAUACUCGCAAUAAUUUUACCGGCCAUCUCUAUAAGGCGUUGGACCAAAAGGGAAUCGACACCUUUAUGGACGAUAAGAAGCUUAGAACAGGUGAAGAGAUAUCUCCCACACUUGUUACAGCAAUCCGAAGAUCAAGGUGCUCCAUCAUUGUUCUGUCAGAAAAUUAUGCAUCCUCCAAGUGUUGUCUAGAAGAACUUGUGGAGAUACUGGAGUGCAGAAGAACCAAAAACCAGAGGGUGGUGCCCAUUUUCUAUAACGUGGAUCCAUCACAUGUUCGGUACCAAACUGGAAGUUUUGGAGAAGCCUUGUCUAAGCAUGAAAAGAACUUGAAGAUCAAGGAGAAGGUGCUGACGUGGAGGAAGGCUCUAACUCAAGUUGCUAACUUAUCUGGUUUGCAUUCCUUGAAUAAGUAAUUCUCUAAAACUAAACUAUUUUUUCAUUGAUUGUUUUUAUUAUUCAUUUGACGUUUUGAUCAUCCCGACCUUAAACAAUCAGAAAAAGGGAAAUUAAAAAAAAAAAAAAAAAAAGUAAAAAAAAGACAAAAGUAAUUGCUGAAAUAAGCUAGCUAGCUUUAAAUAAAAGAAAUAUGUUGGAUGGGUUUUUGCCUCUAUCUAAUCAUUCAAAUUCAUGAUGAAAUCUGCCCAUACCUUAAUGGUCUUUUCCUUCCUCCUUUCUGCUUUUCAUGAUUGGAAUGAUGCCUAGGACCUAGUGGAAAAUCGCAAUGUGUCAAAUUGUCUUUGGUUCGCCCAAUAUGUACAACUCUUGUUAAAUGUAUUAAAAAGAAAAAAGAAAAAAACAUUAAGCCAAGUAGUAAGGUUUGGGCAUCCCAAAAGAAGACAAUAAAUAAGAGUAAAAUUAAUAGAAAAUAUAAUUUUAAGUUAUAUUAAUGUUUGUAGAGCAACUUCUAGGAGGGAUUUCCUAGAUUCAAAGAGUUGUUUUCUGUUUGAACCUUAUAGUCCAUUUAAUCAAAUUAUAUCAUAUCAUAUCAUGCUCAAGAUAAAUAAAAACUAGGUUUUAGAUACAAUAUAGUUAAGUUGGUUAUUUUAUAACAUUUACUCUCAACAAAGUACAUUAUUUAUUUUUGUGUGAGAAAUCUAAUCAAUUAUAUCUUAACCAUCAUAGCAUACUUGAUCGAUCAUGUUUUUUGUUUUCCUUCCAAAGUUGCAAUAAAUAUGACUAAGUAUCCACGUGUUUCCUCCGAAGUUGUCAAAUUUACUACUUUUUAAACCAUGUAUGUGUUACCAAACUUACCAUUAUUCCUUUUCCAAAUUCAAAAUUGCAGGCCUGAGGCUCAACUUAUUGAGGAAAUUGUGGUAGACAUUUCCAAAGAUUUAAAAUGUGUUCCUUCAAAAGAUACCCAGUUUCUAGUAGGAGUGGAUUCUUGCAUAAGGGAACUAGAAUCACUAUUGUGUCUUGAGAGAUGUUCUCAUGGUAGGGAUUUGGGGUAUGGGUGGUCUAGGUAAGACUACCCUUGCUAGAGCUAUUUAUGAAAAAAAUUCCGAAAAAUUUCAAGGUUGUUGCUUUCUUGCCAAUGUAGCAGAUUUGAGAGUAAGAAAAGGUGAAGAUCAUUUAAAAAAGCGACUUCUUUCAAGCAUAUUGAAGGAUAAAAAUAUUGAUGUGACAACCACUUCGUUGAAGGCAAGAUUACACUCCAAAAAGGUCCUUAUUGUUCUUGAUGAUGUGAACCACCGAUCAAUAUUAGAAAUUUUAGCGAGAGAGCCUAAUUGGUUUGGUCCACAAAGUAGAAUCAUUAUAACAACUAGGGAUAAACAUUUGCUAGACACAUAUGGUGUGAAAGUUGUAUAUGAGGUCCAGAAAUUAUAAGAUGAGAAAGCUAUUGAGCUCUUCAACCAUUAUGCCUUCAGAAAUGAUUACCCUUCAGGAGAUGUUAUGGAGCUUAUUGACCAUGUCAUUGCUUAUGCUCAAGGCCUUCCAUUGGCUCUUGAAGUUUUAGGUUCUUCUUUAUGUAAGAAAAGCAAAGAUGAAUGGGUGUGUGCAUUGAAUAAACUCAAAAAAAAAUCCCUAAUAAGGAAAUUCAGAAAGUGCUUCAAAUAAGUUUUGAUGAGUUAGAUGAUGACCAGAAAAAUCUAUUUCUAGAUACUGCAUUUUUUUUGGAGGGUUGGACUAAAGAAUUUGCCAUGGAUAUACUAAAUAGUUGUGGCUAUUUCCCCAUUAGUGGAAUAAGAACUCUCAUUGACAAGUCACUCAUAAGUAUUAUUGAUGAUGAAGAGCUAUGUAUGCAUGAUUUACUUAUAGAAAUGGGUAAGGAAAUUGUUCGCCAAACUUUUCCUGACGAGCCUGGCAAACGCAGCAGAUUAUGCAUGCAAGAAGAUAUCUGUUAUGUAUUAGAAAACCUUAUGGUGAGGAUCAAAUAUAGGAACUUAUUUUUCAUAAAAAAAAAUUAAGCUUCAAAAAUAUCAUUUUCAUUUAACCAUUUGUACAUGUAUAUAGUUUUAAUGAAUGUUUUUUUUUUUUUCUUGCAUGCUCUUGUGUAGGGAACCAAGAAAGUUGAAGUUAUAGGCCUCAACUUGUCUGGCAUAAAGGAAAUACGAUUUACCACUGCAGCCUUUGCCAAGAUGACUAAACUUAGACUUCUUAGAAUUGAUGACACUCAAAUGCAAUGUGAAGUACACAUUCCUCAUGACUUUAAAUUUCAUUUUGAUGAGCUGAGGUGUCUUGUUUGGUGCCAUUAUCCUCUGAAAUUAUUGUCAUCUGAUUUUGAGUGUAAGAAUCUUGUGUGCCUCAGCAUGCCUAAUAGCCACCUUACUCAGCUAUGGGAAGGAAAUAAGGUAUGGUUGAUUUACUCUCUUUUUUUUAGGGGGUGGGGGAGAGGGAAUAAUAUGUUAUGUAUAUAAUCAAGUGCAAUUAUUUAUAAUCACUUGUCUUUUGUUACAGGUUUUUGAAAACUUAAAAUAUAUGGAUCUUAGUCACUCUCAAUACCUGACGGAAACUCCAGAUUUCUCAAGGGUCACCAAUCUUAAGAUGUUGAUUCUGGAUGGUUGUACACAGUUGUGUAAAAUUCACCCGUCCCUUGGAGAUUUGGACAAACUCGCUCGCUUGAGUUUGAAAAACUGCAUAAACCUUGAGCAUUUUCCAAGCAUCGGUCAGUUGGUAUCCCUUGAAGAUCUCAUUCUCUCUGGUUGCUCAAAGCUAGAGAAGUUUCCGGAUAUCUUUCAGCACAUGCCCUGCUUAUGGAAGCUCUGUUUAGAUGGAACUGCUACAACAGAACUCCCUUCCUCAAUUGGUUAUGCCACUGAGCUUGUUAGAUUGGGUUUAAAAAAUUGCAGAAAGCUCCGGAGUCUUCCAAGCAGCAUUGGUAAAUUGACACUUCUUGAGACCCUUUCUCUUUCUGGCUGCUCGGAUCUUGGAAAAUGUGAAGUGAACUCAGGGAACUUAGACGCAUUGCCAAGGACUUUGGAUCAACUUUGUAGUCUUUGGAGGCUUGAGCUGCAAAAUUGCAGGAGCCUACGAGCAUUGCCAGCGCUUCCAUCAAGCUUGGAAAUUAUAAAUGCAAGUAAUUGCGAAUCACUGGAAGACAUCUCCCCUCAAGCAGUUUUCUCACAAUUUAGAAGUUGUAUGUUUGGAAAUUGCUUGAAACUAACCAAGUUUCAAAGUAGGAUGGAGCGUGAUUUACAGAGUAUGGCAGCCCCUGUUGACCACGAGAUACAACCUUCCACUUUUGAGGAAGUAAGUUCUCUAUGGCUCCAACUUGAAUAUAUAUAUAAAAAUAAAUAAAUAAACAAGAAUGUUUGUUACUAGUUUUUCAUAUUUUCAAGAAAAAUGUUUGUUUACUUUUGUGGUCAUCCAUAUAAAAAGAUAAUGAUAAAAGUGAUGAUAAAUUUGAAUGAUCAUCAUGGUUACCAAAAACAGUAGGGUAUAUGGGAUCUCUCUUAGAAUCAUCAUGGUUUCUGUCGUGCAGCAAAACCCAGAAGUUCCUGUCCUAUUCAGCACUGUUUUUCCUGGAAGUGGAAUACCGGAUUGGUUCGAGCAUCGUAGCGAAGGGCAUGAAAUAAAUAUACAGGUAUCUCAAAAUUGGUAUACUAGUAACUUUCUGGGUUUUGCUCUUUCUGCUGUUGUAGCGCCCGAGAAAGAGCCCCUUACAAGUGGUUGGAAAACCUACUGUGACUUGGGAUGCGGUGCUCCUAAUUCGAAAUUGAAAUCCAAUGGCAUAUUUUCCUUCUCCAUCGUUGAUGAUUCCACUGAACUUCUUGAACAUAUAACAAUUGGGUCAGAUCAUUGGUGGCUGGCCUAUGUACCAUCAUUUAUCGGCUUCGCUCCUGAGAAAUGGAGUUGCAUUAAGUUUUCAUUUCGUACAGACAGGGAGUCCUGCAUUGUGAAGUGUUGCGGAGUUUGUCCUGUGUACACUAAAAGUAACAGUGAUGACGAGUCUAAGAGUGAUGGGGAUUAUUCCUACCGUGAUGACGAGUCUAAUAGUGAUGGGGAUUAUUCCUACAGUGAUGACGAGUAUAAGAGUGAUACGUAUUAUUCCUACAGUGAUAACGAGUCUAAUAGUGAUGGGAAUUAUUCCUACAGUGAUGACGAGUAUAAGAGUGAUACGUAUUAUUCCUAAGGUGAUGAGGGGAAGACCUUGAUGAUCUCCAUGAAUGGAGAUUAGAAGACAAAACAAUCGGGAGAAGCCCCAAAGAAGCCCAAAGAAGAGGCAGUGUCCAGGAAAAUGUGAAUGAUUCAGUGUUGCAGGAAGCCUUGAUGACGCAGAACCCAUAGGGAUUGGAUACUCUUGUACCAACGCACAUGCCUGCGCCAUGAUCAGGAGAAGCCUUCAUGAGGUCCUUGAAGAUAUGCAAUGUUGAGUUGAAUUGAUUUUUCCUUUGUAAUAUGUUGAAGCUAUCCUUGUAAAACAUGGGCUAAGGCUAAAUGGGCCGAGUCUUAUUGUUUUAAAUGGGUUUUAGGGUUAGGGUUUGUAAACUCUAUAAAUAGGUGGCUUGGGAAAACAUAUGGAAGUAAGAAGGUGCAUGAGCCGUCUUUCAAUAGUGAAAUAGAAUUGCUCGCUCUCUGCCCGUGGACGUAGAUCACUUUGAUCGAACCACGUAAAUCUUAUGUUUGUUCUUGUGUGAUUGUUUUCUUCCAUUAUUCCGCGAUUCUAUUGUUUGCUUGCUUAACAAGUGGUAUCAGAGCCCACAAACACAUGGGUUUAGAUCUGCAGAAGGAAGAUGUCUUCACAGAAAUUAGAAGUUGAGAAGUUCAAUGGGUCGAAUGAUUUCACCUUGUGGNNNNNNNNNNNNNNNNNNNNNNNNNNNNNNNNNNNNNNNNNNNNNNNNNNNNNNNNNNNNNNNNNNNNNNNNNNNNNNNNNNNNNNNNNNNNNNNNNNNNNNNNNNNNNNNNNNNNNNNNNNNNNNNNNNNNNNNNNNNNNNNNNNNNNNNNNNNNNNNNNNNNNNNNNNNNNNNNNNNNNNNNNNNNNNNNNNNNNNNNNNNNNNNNNNNNNNNNNNNNNNNNNNNNNNNNNNNNNNNNNNNNNNNNNNNNNNNNNNNNNNNNNNNNNNNNNNNNNNNNNNNNNNNNNNNNNNNNNNNNNNNNNNNNNNNNNNNNNNNNNNNNNNNNNNNNNNNNNNNNNNNNNNNNNNNNNNNNNNNNNNNNNNNNNNNNNNNNNNNNNNNNNNNNNNNNNNNNNNNNNNNNNNNNNNNNNNNNNNNNNNNNNNNNNNNNNNNNNNNNNNNNNNNNNNNNNNNNNNNNNNNNNNNNNNNNNNNNNNNNNNNNNNNNNNNNNNNNNNNNNNNNNNNNNNNNNNNNNNNNNNNNNNNNNNNNNNNNNNNNNNNNNNNNNNNNNNNNNNNNNNNNNNNNNNNNNNNNNNNNNNNNNNNNNNNNNNNNNNNNNNNNNNNNNNNNNNNNNNNNNNNNNNNNNNNNNNNNNNNNNNNNNNNNNNNNNNNNNNNNNNNNNNNNNNNNNNNNNNNNNNNNNNNNNNNNNNNNNNNNNNNNNNNNNNNNNNNNNNNNNNNNNNNNNNNNNNNNNNNNNNNNNNNNNNNNNNNNNNNNNNNNNNNNNNNNNNNNNNNNNNNNNNNNNNNNNNNNNNNNNNNNNNNNNNNNNNNNNNNNNNNNNNNNNNNNNNNNNNNNNNNNNNNNNNNNNNNNNNNNNNNNNNNNNNNNNNNNNNNNNNNNNNNNNNNNNNNNNNNNNNNNNNNNNNNNNNNNNNNNNNNNNNNNNNNNNNNNNNNNNNNNNNNNNNNNNNNNNNNNNNNNNNNNNNNNNNNNNNNNNNNNNNNNNNNNNNNNNNNNNNNNNNNNNNNNNNNNNNNNNNNNNNNNNNNNNNNNNNNNNNNNNNNNNNNNNNNNNNNNNNNNNNNNNNNNNNNNNNNNNNNNNNNNNNNNNNNNNNNNNNNNNNNNNNNNNNNNNNNNNNNNNNNNNNNNNNNNNNNNNNNNNNNNNNNNNNNNNNNNNNNNNNNNNNNNNNNNNNNNNNNNNNNNNNNNNNNNNNNNNNNNNNNNNNNNNNNNNNNNNNNNNNNNNNNNNNNNNNNNNNNNNNNNNNNNNNNNNNNNNNNNNNNNNNNNNNNNNNNNNNNNNNNNNNNNNNNNNNNNNNNNNNNNNNNNNNNNNNNNNNNNNNNNNNNNNNNNNNNNNNNNNNNNNNNNNNNNNNNNNNNNNNNNNNNNNNNNNNNNNNNNNNNNNNNNNNNNNNNNNNNNNNNNNNNNNNNNNNNNNNNNNNNNNNNNNNNNNNNNNNNNNNNNNNNNNNNNNNNNNNNNNNNNNNNNNNNNNNNNNNNNNNNNNNNNNNNNNNNNNNNNNNNNNNNNNNNNNNNNNNNNNNNNNNNNNNNNNNNNNNNNNNNNNNNNNNNNNNNNNNNNNNNNNNNNNNNNNNNNNNNNNNNNNNNNNNNNNNNNNNNNNNNNNNNAAAUGAUGUUAAGGAUGCUCUACAGUCUAAAGAAUUGCAGAAAUUAGUUUCUGGUUCUGGGGAAGGCAGUGUGGAGACUGGGUUAACUGUGAGUAGGGGCAGGAGCAUGGAACGAAAUGGUGGAGGACGUAGUAAGUCGCGUUCUAAAUCGAAGGCUGAAAUGAGAUGCUUUCACUGUAAAGAGAAAGGGCACUUUAGAAAGAACUGUCCACAAAGGCAGAAGAGAAUUGGUCAGGGGUCGAAUGGAAAUGCGCAGGUUGUAGUAGCUCAGAAAGAUUCUGAAAAACAGGAUAGUUCUGACGAGGGAGAAGGAGGAGAUGUUUUAACUGUUAGUACAUCUAGCUCUGCAGAAUCAUGGAUCUUGGAUACUGGUGCUUCGUAUCACAUGGCUUAUUCACGAGAUCUGUUCACUACUUUUAAAGAGUGGAACGGAAGUGUAAAGUUGGGAGAUGAUGGGGAGUUGGGUGUCAAAGGCAGUGGUUCUGUGCAGAUUAAAAUGUAUGACGGAUUGGUUAGGACAUUGAAUGCUUGGUAUGUUCCUGGACUGCGAAAGAAUUUGAUCUCUGUGGGUACACUGGAUAAAAAUGGGUACACAUUCUCUGGGAGUGGUGGAGUUCUUAGGGUGUCAAAAGGAGCUCUUGUGGUGAUGAAAGGCAGAUUACAGCAUGGGAUUUACACAUUGAUGGGAAGUUCGGUGUUGGGAACGGCGGCUGUGUCAAGCUCCAUGGCUAUUGAUUCUGUAGAGAAGAAAGAUAAUUGUACUGAGUUGUGGCAUCGAAGAUUGGGACACAUGAGUGAGAAAGGGCUCUCUAUCUUGAGUAAGCAAGGGCUAUUAAGUGGUGUUGAGACCGAGAAGCUGAAAUUCUGUGAAACUUGUGUUAUGGGUAAACAGCGUAGGGUGAAGUUCAGUAUGGGUAGUCACACUACUAAUGGAGUUCUUGAGUAUAUUCACUCUGAUUUAUGGGGUCCUUCUCCGGUGGAGUCUCAUAGUGGAUGCAGGUACUAUGUUACUUUUAUUGAUGACUUCUCUAGAAAGGUGUGGGUGUACUUUCUGAAAGCAAAGGAUGAAGUGUUUGGGAAGUNNNNNNNNNNNNNNNNNNNNNNNNNNNNNNNNNNNNNNNNNNNNNNNNNNNNNNNNNNNNNNNNNNNNNNNNNNNNNNNNNNNNNNNNNNNNNNNNNNNNNNNNNNNNNNNNNNNNNNNNNNNNNNNNNNNNNNNNNNNNNNNNNNNNNNNNNNNNNNNNNNNNNNNNNNNNNNNNNNNNNNNNNNNNNNNNNNNNNNNNNNNNNNNNNNNNNNNNNNNNNNNNNNNNNNNNNNNNNNNNNNNNNNNNNNNNNNNNNNNNNNNNNNNNNNNNNNNNNNNNNNNNNNNNNNNNNNNNNNNNNNNNNNNNNNNNNNNNNNNNNNNNNNNNNNNNNNNNNNNNNNNNNNNNNNNNNNNNNNNNNNNNNNNNNNNNNNNNNNNNNNNNNNNNNNNNNNNNNNNNNNNNNNNNNNNNNNNNNNNNNNNNNNNNNNNNNNNNNNNNNNNNNNNNNNNNNNNNNNNNNNNNNNNNNNNNNNNNNNNNNNNNNNNNNNNNNNNNNNNNUUUUUUUUUCUUUUACUACGAUUAAGUAUAAUUGAUGUCUUUUGUUUGAAGCCAGACGUUAUAAUCGCCCUUAUAUAAAUAUAACAUUUUCGAGAUUAUGAAUAUUCCUUGUAAAGUUAGACAAAUAAAUAAGGGAGAAUUUAGAAUUGAUUGUGAUAUCAUUUGUAUUAAUUUGCUUUCAAACAUGCAGGUAUUAUUCAUUUUGCAUCAAAUGAACACUUAAAAAUGUAUCAUUGGGGAUAUUGCACUACAUCUAUAAAUUGUUGCUUCAAUAUAAAUUUGGAAACUAUGACUUCAAUUUUAGAAACCACAUUUAUAAACUACAACCUUAAUAUAAAUAACUUUUUGGCUAUUAUAUUUAUUGCUUGACUAGGCUUUAUUUUUAUAAAUUUUAUUUUUUUAAUAUUCAUUAUUAACAUUAUUUUGAGAGUUUUAUCCAAAAUUGAACCCUUUAUUAAUCUUUGUUUUAUUAUUUCCCCUAUUUUAAUUAAAGAUUUAAAAUGAGUAUAAUAAAUAAAUAAUUUGCUACCUGUUAGAGAUUUUUAAGGUCUGUUUGGUUGGAAAUGGUUGUAGUUUCUAACCUUAAAAAAACAUUCAAGAAUUUUUUUGGAAAAUAGUUUUGCAUGAUAAUACUCAAAUUCAACCCGAUGUUUAAUUGCUUUCACUAAAUAUUUUUAAUACUUAAGUUAAGAUUGGGAUAAGUUUUUACACCUUUACCCAAUUUAGGUUGAGUUCAUUUCAACCACUUCAAGUCACACUUGAACUUUGUUGGACUCUGUGGAAGAUUAACGAUGAAAAAAUAGAAAAACAAGAAAGAAGAACACUGGAACAGGAGAAGGUGAUAUUCACUAUGUUAAAAUUAAGGUUAUAUAAGAGGAUAUUUAUAUUAAUCUUUAGGAAUGAAAUUCUAAAAAUACCCUGAAUCGAUUUAAUAUUUUUAUAAUGUUUAUUAUUUUGUCAACUUAAAUAUACCUUGAAUUUGAUUUCAUUAUAAUGUUUAUUAUUUUACAUAAUAAUAGUUGUUUUUUUUUUCUAAUAUCAAAUUAUAAUCAUAUUGUAUAGUUUUUUUAAAAAGAAGAUAUGAGUUUUUUUUUUAAAUUUUUAUUAUUAUUUUGAAAUUUUGUCUUAUUUAUUAUUUAAAUAUAUAUAUAUAUAUAUAUAUAUAUAUAUAUAUAUAUAUAUAUAUAUAUAAGUUUUUAAAAACCACUGUGGAUGACUUUGAGUCAUGCAACCCAUGUCAAUUAAAUCAAGUCUAACAUGAUCAACCCAAGUUAACCCGAUUGAGCUAAAAUUAACUUGAUCAACAUGAAUUCAACCCAAAUUUAGAAAAAUGAAGUUAGCUUAGGAUUAGAUUGAAUACUUCAAGUUAAAAGUUGGGUUGGGUUCAAGUUAGCCAUCAACCCAACCAAGUUGUAAUCCUACUAAAAACCAUAUAUGAUUUAAUAAUAGGUGUAGAUCUCAAAAUUUGUUCCAAUUUUAUUUUUAACCCAAGUUUAACAUGAUCAACCCAAGUUUAACCCGAUCAAGUCGAAUUUAACUUGAUCAACAUGAAUUCAACCCAAAUUUAGAAAAAUGAAGUUAACUUAGGAUUAGAUUGAGUACCUUAGGUUAAAAGUUGGAUUGUGUUCGAGUUAGCCAUCAACCUAAUCAAGUUGUAAUCCUACUAAAAACCAUAUAUGAUUUAAUAAUAGGUGUAAACCCCAAAAUUUGUCAUAAUUUUAUUUUUACGUUGAUUUUGAGCCUAAUUUUAUUUUUAAUUUUUAAAUCUCGAUUACAUCUUAUAUUUUUUAUCCACUCACCAUCUAAUUAUUAGUUUUCAUUAUUUUAUAUAUUAUUUUAUUUUAUUGUUAUUUAUUAUUAUUAUUAUUAUUAUUAUUAUUAUUAUUAUUAUUAUUUUCUUUUUCUUUUCUCUUUCCUCUCUUCUCUCUCUUCCUAACUUCCCCAACCACUCCACUACCAUUUUUGGGUAGGAGGUGGCCGGAUUUUUUUCCCCUUCUUCCCCAUUUUAUUCUACCUUUUUCAUCCACCCACUCGAAGAGACACCAACUGGCCCCAUUUCUUUUCCUCCAUUUUUUUCGCUUCCUCUUUGCUUGCUCUUCCUCCUACACACUCCACGACUCCACCCAAACUUCAUUUAUUAUUAUUAUUAUUAUUAUUAAUUUCUCUCUCCCAUUUCUUCUCCACACCACUUCCCAUCAUCAGUAGUCUGUGUUGCCAUUGUGGGUGGCGUGACCCCCGAAGCCAUUUCUAAGGUCCCUCCAUCCCUAUGUUGUUCUUUCCAUUUUUUGUUUUUUUUUUUUAUCUUUUAUUUUAUUUUAUUUUAUUUUAUUUUAUUUUUGUUUUUCAAAAAGCUAUCACCCAUCAUCGCCGUCGACAAGACCACCGACUAGUCGUCGCGAGUGAGCCAUUGUCGGCUAACAACAUUUCCUCUUUUAUCUCAUUCUCUCACUUUCCCAUCACACUCAUUUAUUAUUAUUAUUAUUAUUAUUAUUAUUAUUAAAUUUGGGCUAAAUUAAUUGAUAAUUUAUAUAGUUGUACUCAUUUGAAUUAUUUAAUUUUGAUAUGAUAUAAUAUUGUGGUAUAUUUUGGAUGUGGAUUUACAUAUUAAAUUCAGUUUAUUUUGGCUGUGGAUUUAGGUUUACAUAUUAAAUUAGACUUGAAUUAUGAGAUAAUAAAUUUAGGCCUAAUUUAGGUUUGAUUAAUUGAACUUAUAUUUUGGCUAUUAAUUUGAAAAUUUUAUAUUAUGACCUAUGACAUGUAAGAUAUUUGUAUUAGGUUAAAUUUGCUAAUUUAGGCUCAUUUUUAAUUAAUGAAAUUUAUUGAAAGUUUGAAUUUGGGUUUGAAUAUUUAUUUUGAAUUUUGUAAAUUUUUAGAUAUUUACAUUUUUGUAUUUUUGUUUUUGCAUGUUAAGCUAACCAAAUUCAGUUAGGAAGUUAGCUAACCUGUAACUAUGGUCAGUUAGUAACUAAAGUCAGUUGGUAACCAAAGUUAAACUCCAGAAGUUUUGAUAUAAAAACAAAUGUAAAUCAAUCAGAUGAGUCAGUGAAAAAGCAAGAAUACAUUUCAAUUCCAGAAUUUCCAAUACUCUGUUUUCUCUUCGUCAUACUCUGUUUUUCUACUUCAGCCCUGUUCUCUUCAUUUUCUCUUCAACAAAACAUGGUAUCAGAGCUCCAUUGACACACGUCCAAAAUGGUUACUGAUCACAUCGAUUCCUUUGCACCAGAGAUGUCCUCACAAGGACUCCAAUCUCCGGCAAGAAACUCGUCGGAAGUUUCCUCAAUUCUUACGGGACAAAUUUCUUCUACACUUCAUCCGAUCUCAGUGAAGCUAGACAGGAACAAUUACACAAUAUGGCGACCUCAGGUAUUACCAGCAGCUAGAGCACAUCGACUGGAUCAAAUUCUCAUUGGUAAGGUACCAAAACCUCCAAGAUUCUCUCAAUCAACAUCAGUUAAUUCAUCUCAACCUGCAUCCAAUCCAGAAUAUGAUCAAUGGGUGAUUUUAGAUCAAUUCUUGUUGAGUUGGAUUCUUGCUUCCAUAUCUGAAGCCAUGUAUGGUCAUGUGGUUAAUUGUCAAACAUCAGCCGAAGUAUGGAGUGUUCUUGAAAAACUUUUUGUCUCGAAUUCAAAAGCAAGAACUCUUCAACUACGGUUCAUGCUACAAUCAUUAAAGAAAGGUGCUCUAAGCAUAAAUGAUUAUGUGCUGAAAAUGAGAAACAUAGCAGAUAUGCUCUCUGCCUCUGGAAAACCUGUACCAGAUGAAGAUUUAAUUCUUUACAUCUUAGGUGGAUUAGGACCAGAAUUUGAAACAAUUGUUGUGAAUAUUACAUCUAGAUCUGAGGCAAUAUCUCUACAAGAGGUCCAUUAUCUGCUACAAAGUCAUGAAAUUCGUCUUGAGCAACUUUCAGCAGCAUCUGUUAUUGAUGUUCCACCAGCAGCACAUAUUACAAUUGGAGGUGUUCAAAACUCUAACACUAAUGAUGGACAGUUCAAAGACUCAAGCAGCAAGAAUUUUCGUCCUAGAAAUGUAUGUAAUCCACAAACUUCAAGAAUUGUUUGUCAAUUGUGUGGAAAAAUGGGACAUACUGCUAUGAAGUGCUUCCACCGUUUUGAUGUGUACUUCCAAUCUCCACCACAUGCACAAAAUCAACAGUUUUCAUCUCUUCAUCAACCACAACAACCUCAACUUCGGCCACCUCCACUGCAUCAGCCUCAAUAUUAUUCCAUAGGGCCACUGGUACCAUCACGUCCGAUUCAGAAUUCACACCAACAACUUGAUUCAACAAACACUUCUCCUCAUGCCUAUAUUGUUGCUCCGGAUCUUAAUUCAAACACUUCAUGGUUUGUUGACAGUGGUGCUACUCACCACAUGACCACUGAUUCCAAUACUCUUGAUGUCUUUGAUCACUACUCUGGCACAGGUAAUGUUGUGGUGGGCAAUGGACAAACACUAGAUAUAUCUAGUGUUGGUCAUACUUCUUUUCCUUCACGUAAAUCUUCCAAGUCAUUGCAUCUUGCCAAUGUACUUCAUGUACCUCAGAUCACUAAAAAUCUUAUCAGUGUAGCUAAAUUCACUCAAGAUAAUGAUGUUAUUCUUGAGUUUGACUCUCAUUGUUGUUUUGUUAAGGACAAGAAGUCCAGAGAGAUAUUACUCCAAGGCAACCUUAAGGAAGGCCUAUAUCAGCUGGAUAUCUCCAAGGUCUCAUCUAACCGGCAGUUUGUAGGUUUCUCUGAAGAUACAAAUGUGUUCCUACCUCAUCUAGCUACUACUCCGUCUACUGUCAACAAACAAUCAGUUGCUCCAUCUGUUGGAUAUAGCCUGCAAGUAAAUAAAAUUGAGUCUACAAGGUGUGUAGAAGACAACAACACGGGUGUUGGACACUUGUGGCAUCAAAGAUUGGGUCAUCCAUGCAACAAAAUUGUGUCUCUAGUACUUGACAGAUUGGGCAUUAAAUCCAAGCUCCAAAAUGAACUCAAUUUUUGUACUGCUUGUCCUUUAGGCAAGGCAAAACAGUUUCCACUCCCUACCACUAUUAAUAAAACACAAGUUCCAUUUGAACUAGUUUUUUCAGAUGUGUGGGAACCUGCACAUACAACUUCAUGUGAUGGGUACAAAUAUUACAUUGCAUUUGUAGAUGCUUUUACAAACUAUACUUGGAUUUAUCCCAGGCAACAAAAGUCCCAAGCAACAUCAAUUGUCUUGCAGUUCAUAGCAUUGGUAGAUCGAAAAUUUCCCACCAAACUUAAGUGUCUACAAACAGACUGGGGUGGAGAGUUUCGUCCCCUUCAAUCUCUUCUGCAGAAGAAAGGCAUCCUCUUCCGUCAUCCUUGUCCUCAUGUUCAUCAACAAAAUGGGAAGGUGGAGCGAAAGCAUAGAAGCAUUGUAGAAAUUGGAUUGACUUUGUUGGCUAAGUCUCAAUUGCCAUUUACUUUCUGGUGGCAUGCCUUCUCUACAGCAACUUACCUUCUCAAUAGACUACCAACUCCAGUUCUCCAUUGUAAGACUCCCUAUGAACUCUUGUUUAAAUCAUCACCUGAUUUUUUAUUCUUAAAGACCUUUGGCUGUGCUUGCUAUCCGUAUCUCCGACCUUACAAAAACCAUAAACUAGAAUAUCAGUCAACUCAAUGCACAUUUAUUGGAUAUAGUCUCUCCCAUAAAGGAUACCUAUGUGUUAGCCCAAGGGUUCUCCUAAUCAGGUUUUGAUGAUAACAAACCGUGGUUAAGUGACUAAUUGCUUUAAAUUGUUAAGAAUCUCAGGUAUAAUCUCAAGGACCAAACGAAUACGGGAUAAAGACCAUUUGGAAGACUUGUGAUCAUAGGAAAUGAAUGUAAGAUGAUAGCAUGAGUGCACUUAGGAUGUUCAUACAUUUUCAUGCAUCUUAGAAAACUCGGUUUAUUCUUUAAAACUUGAUUUUCUUUAAAACCCGAGUUUUAUCAAAUAUACCUUAGGCAAAUUGACUCAAAAUUGACAUAUUAACUCUCCUAAAGACCUUGCCUAAGUAUUGGAAAAGAAAGAAAUAAAAAAGGAUAGGUUUUCAGGACCAAAAGGCUCAUCCGGUCGAGGCUAUGGCCAACCGGCUCAACCGGUUGGGGAACCGGUCGAGGUCCGGUCGAGGGAGACACAAAAACUUUCUCUCUCUCCCAGUAGCUUCCCGGUCGAGCCUCACCCUUUGUCCGGUCGAGGUCCGGUCGAGGUCCGGUCGAGGCAACGGUAACCUGCUAUACAUUAAAUGCUCCAACGACUAGUGAUCCGGUCGACCCUUUGCUCGUCCGGUCGAGGCUACUUUCUGCUGUUUUUGUCUCCCGAGCUUAGAAACCUAUAAAUUGAGAGCUCCUCUUCAUUUAUGAAAAAGAGAACAAUUGCAUUCAAAGCCUACCUACCUGUUCUUGAUCUAAAAAGCUCUCAUCUUCCUUCUUAGUGCAUUAAAACCAUCAAUUGCAUAUUCUUAGUGCACUCUUGCAAUUCAUCCUAGCCUUCUCUUGUACUUGAGCCUUCAUUAAGCUAGGUUGAGUGUUUCAUCCUUGUGUAAACUGAGUGUGAAAGCCUUCAAGUGGUACAAAUCUUGAAGAGAUUGUGUAAGAGCCCAUUGGAGCCGGAAUCCAAGUGUAAAACGAUUGAAAGCUUGAUUGUAGCUUCAAGUUAGUGGAACCCUCACUCGGUUAGGAGAUUGAGGAGAGUGGACGUAGGCAAGGGAGUGCCGAACCACUAUAAAUCUAAGUUUGAAUUCUCUACCUUUAUCUCUUUCCUUUAUUUAUUUUGUGCAUAAAUUAUUGUGUGGAAAAAGAUUUUGAAAAACCCAAUUCACCCUCCCUUUUGGGUAUUUUCCUUAAUUAUUCAUAGCCUUUGUUUUAUCAAUUGGUAUCAGAGCUAGACCUCUUGCUUAAGACUUAAUCGUCUAAGAGGAAAAUGGUUAUUCCAUCAAGCUCAUCUCAAACUGAAAAUUUUUCAAAACAUAGAGCUCCAUUCUUUACGGGAACUGACUAUCCCUAUUGGAAAGCUAGAAUGACUUGGUUCUUACAAUCAACUGAUUUAGAUGUAUGGGAUGUCAUUGAAGAUGGCCCAACUUUUCCCACUAAAUUAGUUGAUGGUGUUUUGGUUCCAAAACCCAAGAAAGAAUGGAAUGAGCUUGAUAGAAGAAAUUUUCAAUUAAAUGCUAAAGCCGUCUUUACUUUGCAAUGUGCUAUGGAUAGGAAUGAAUAUAAUAGAAUAUGUCAAUGUAAAUCUGCUAAGGAAAUUUGGAGAUUGCUUGAAAUAACUCAUGAAGGAACAAAUCAAGUGAAAGAGUCAAAAAUUAAUAUACUUGUCCAUAACUAUGAAUUGUUUUCAAUGAAAGAAACUGAAACUAUUGUUGAGAUGAUCACUAGGUUCACUGAAAUUGUCAAUGGCCUUGAAGCAUUGGGAAGGGUUAUAAAUGAAUCCGAAAAGGUGAUGAAGAUAUUGAGGUCUCUACCCUCAAAGUGGCAUACAAAGGUCACCGCUAUUCAAGAAGCUAAAGACUUGACCAAGCUACCUAUGGAAGAACUCUUAGGGUCAUUGAUGACUUAUGAAAUCAGUUUGACAAAGCAACUACAAGAGAGUGAAGACAAGAAGAAGAAAAGCAUAGCUCUCAAGGCUACAACCAAGGAAGAAGAAGAUGUUGAAGAAGAAAAACCAAGUGAGGAAGAUGAUGAUUUAGCUCUCAUCACAAGAAAGCUAAACAAAUACAUGAGAGGUGAAAGGUUUAGAGGGAAAAAGUUUACCUCUAGAAGAAAUCCCUCAAGAAGGGAAUCCUCAUCACAUGGUGACAAAGAAAAAUGGGAAGAGAAAGGAGAUUUGAUAUGCUUCAAAUGCAAAAAGCCGGGACACAUUAAAUAUGAUUGUCCUCUCUACAAAAUUGAAGCCAAAAGAAGAAUGAAGAAGGCAAUGAUGGCCACUUGGAGUGAGAGUGAAGAAUCUUCCGAGGAAGAAAAGGAAAAAGAAGUGGCAAACAUGUGCUUCAUGGCAAUAGAUGAUCUUGAUGAGGUAAACUCUAACUCUAGUGAUGAAGAUAUGCAUGUUAUUUUUGAAGAACUAUAUGAGGAUUUUGAAAAACUUAGUUUGAAAAAUAAUUCUCUUAAAAAGAGAAUUCAAGAACUUGAAAAAGAACUUGAGGAAGUGAAAGAAAAGUUUUCAAUUGAUGAAAUCUCUAAAACUCAUCUUGAAAAAGAGAAUGAGAUUUUAAGAAAUGGAAAUGAAAUUUUGAAAAAGAAAAAUGAAUGGUUGACCUCCUCUCUUUCAAUUUUCUCUUGUGGACAAAAGUCCUUUGAAAUGAUCUUAGCAAGCCAAAAUGUGUUUUUGACAAACAAGGACUAGGAUUCAAAUCUUCAAAGAACCAAAAGUAUUUUAAAAACUAUUUUGUAAAAGAAUCCUCAAGUGAAUGUCCUUCCACUAUUUGUAACUUUUGUGGAAGAGGAGGGCACAUUAGUAGUACAUGUCCCUUAAGAAAUGGUGCUCAAAAGAAUUCAAAAGCUAAGGUUAAAAAGGUUUGGAUUGAAAAAUCCAAAGUCACUAACCCUCAAGGACCCAAGAAGACAUGGGUACCUAAAUCAACUUGAAUUCUAUUUUGUAGGGCUCAAAGGAAGAUAAGUGGUUCUUGGAUAGUGGGUGCUCAAGACACAUGACCGGAGAUGAAUCCAAGUUUGCCUUCCUUACAAAGAGAAAAGGAGGAUAUGUCACCUUUGGAGACAAUGCAAAAGGAAGAAUCAUUGGUCAAGGUAACAUAGGUAAUGGUACAUCCUCCCUUAUUGAAAGUGUUUUAUUAGUAGAUGGUUUAAAACACAAUCUUUUGAGCAUUAGUCAACUUUGUGACAAAGGUUUUAAAGUAAUUUUUGAAGCAUCUCAUUGUAUCAUCAAGGAUAUUCAAAAUGACAAAACCAUCUUCAUGGGCCAUAGAUGUGAAAAUGUAUAUGCUAUAAAUAUUUCAAAAUAUGAUGGUCAUGAUAGAUGUUUUUCAAGCAUGCAUGAUCAAAGUUGGUUGUGGCAUAGGAGGUUGGGACAUGCUAACAUGGACCUCAUUUCCCAACUCAACAAAGAUGAACUCAUUAGAGGCCUUCCCAAAAUUAAUUUUCAAAAAGACAAAAUUUGUGAAGCUUGUCAAAUGGGAAAGCAAAUAAAAAACUCUUUUAAAAACAAAAAUUUCAUCUCAACAUCUAGACCUCUUGAAUUGCUACACAUGGAUUUAUUUGGUCCUUCUAGGACACCUAGUCUAGGAGGAAAAUCUUAUGCUUAUGUCAUUGUGGAUGAUUUCUCUAGAUACACAUGGGUCUUGUUUUUAAGUCAAAAGAGUGAAGCUUUUUAUGAGUUUUCAAAAUUUUGUAACAAGGUUCAAAAUGAAAAAGGUUUUUCAAUCACUUGCAUUAGAAGUGAUCAUGGGAGAGAAUUUGAGAAUUUUGACUUUGAGGAAUAUUGCAAUAAGCAUGGUAUCAAUCACAAUUUUUCGGCUCCUAGAACUCCUCAACAAAAUGGGGUAGUUGAAAGGAAAAAUAGAACUCUUCAAGAAAUGGCUAGAACCAUGCUAAAUGAAAACAAUUUGCCAAAGUAUUUUUGGGCCGAAGCGGUAAACACUUCUUGCUAUGUUUUAAAUAGAAUAUUGUUGAGGCCCAUUCUUAAGAAAACUCCCUAUGAGCUUUGGAAAAACAAGAAACCCAACAUUAGCUAUUUCAAAGUCUUUGGGUGCAAAUGUUUUAUAUUAAACACCAAAGAUAAUCUUGGAAAAUUUGAUGCAAAAUCCGAUGUUGGAAUUUUUCUUGUUUUUCNGCUACUCAACUUCAAGUAAAGCUUUUAGAGUUUUCAACAAAAGAACCAUGGUUGUAGAAGAGUCCAUCCAUGUCAUUUUUGAUGAAUCUAACAAUUCUCUUCAAGAAAGAGAAAGUGUUGAUGAUGAUUUAGGAUUGGAGACCUCCAUGGGAAAAUUGCAAAUUAAGGACAAAAGACAACAAGAAGAAAGUGGAGAGGAUCCCAAGAAAGAAGAUUCACCUUUGGCACUACCUCCUCCUCAACAAGUGCAAGGAGAAUCAAGCCAAGACCUCCCAAAAGAUUGGAAGUUUGUCAUCAACCAUCCACAAGAUCAAAUCAUUGGUAAUCCAUCAAGUGGGGUAUGAACUAGAUCAUCCCUUAGAAAUAUUUGUAAUAAUCUUGCAUUCAUCUCUCAAAUUGAACCUAAAAACAUAAAAGAUGCUAUAGUUGAUGAAAAUUGGAUGAUUGCUAUGCAAGAAGAAUUAAAUCAAUUUGAAAGAAGUGAAGUAUGGGAACUAGUACCAAGACCUUCAAAUCAAAGUGUUAUUGGAGCUAAAUGGGUCUUUAGAAACAAAAUGGAUGAAAAUGGCAUCAUAGUAAGAAAUAAGGUAAGAUUGGUGGCCUAAGGGUAUAAUCAAGAAGAAGGAAUAGACUAUGAAGAGACUUUUGCCCCCGUAGCUAGAUUGGAAGCAAUUAGAAUGUUGCUUGCUUUUGCAUGUUUCAAAGAUUUUAUUCUAUAUCAAAUGGAUGUGAAAAGUGUUUUUCUAAAUGGCUUCAUAAAUGAGGAAGUAUAUGUUGAACAACCACCCGGUUUUCAAAGCUUCAACUUUCCAAACCAUGUUUUUAAACUUAAAAAGGCACUUUAUGGUUUGAAACAAGCACCUAGAGCUUGGUAUGAAAGACUAAGUAAAUUUCUUUUGAAAAAGGGUUUUAAAAUGGGAAAAAUCGACACAACUCUUUUCAUUAAAACCAAAGAAAAGGAUAUGCUUCUAGUUCAAAUAUAUGUUGAUGAUACUAUUUUUGGGGCUACUAAUGACUCUCUUUGUGAAGAUUUCUCUAAGUGUAUGCAUAGUGAGUUUGAAAUGAGCAUGAUGGGGGAACUCAAUUACUUCCUUGGACUUCAAAUCAAGCAACUAAAGGAAGGAACCUUCAUCAAUCAAGCAAAGUAUAUAAAGGAUCUUCUCAAGAGGUUCAACAUGGAAGAAGCCAAGGUGAUGAAAACUCCAAUGAGCUCAUCCAUCAAGCUUGACAUGGAUGAAAAAGGUAAAUCUAUUGACUCAACUAUGUAUAGAGGCAUGAUAGGAUCCUUGCUUUAUUUGACCGCUAGUAGACCCGAUAUCAUAUAUAGUGUAUGCUUGUGUGCUAGAUUUCAAUCUUGUCCUAAGAAUCUCACUUAAGUGCCGUUAAAAGAAUUCUUAGAUAUUUGAAAGGACAUGAAUAUCGGUUUGUGGUAUCCUAAAGUGAUAUUUGAAUUGAUGGGUUCUCGGAUGCCGAUUUUGCCGGUUGUAGAGUUGAAAGAAAGAGCACUAGUGACACUUGUCAUUUCUUAGGACACUCACUUGUCUCAUGGCAUAGUAAGAAGCAAAAUUCGGUAGCUUUGUCAACGGCGGAAGCCGAAUACAUAGCAGCCGGUUUGUGUUGUGCUCAAAUUCUUUGAAUGAAACAAACACUUAGUGAUUUUAACUUAUCUUUUGAGCAUGUUCCUAUCAAAUGUGAUAACACUAGUGCCAUAAAUAUUUCAAAAAAUCCCGUGCAACACUCUAGGACCAAGCAUAUAGAAAUUAAACAUCAUUUUCUUAGAGAUCAUGCACAAAAGGGUGACAUUACACUUGAAUUUGUAAGCACAAAAGAUCAACUUGUCGAUAUUUUUACAAAACCUCUAAGUGAAGAACAAUUUUCCGAUAUUAGAAGACAACUAGGGGUUAUUUCUCUUUGAUCUGAUGUUUGUAUAAUGAAUUCUUGUUGGAAAUGCAUUAUGAUUGCAUAAAUUUCAUCUCAUACGCAUCAUAUAGCAAUCCCUUAGAAAAUAGGUCAAUUUUUGACCAAAAAUCAAAAUUCUCGUGGCAUUGGACAUCAAAAAUUGGGGAUUUCAACUGAAAAGAGCAGGGGGAGGAUCACGAGACAAGAAUAUGCAAAAAAAAAAUUGGAAAAUGAAACCGUUGACUGUUGACCAGGCGGUCGACCGGUUGAGGAACCGGUCAACCGGUUCGUCGGGGCUGGGAGUUUAAAAGGCCCCCGCGCGUCAGUUUUUUCCACUGUUCUCUGGCAUUCCUCGAAGACCCUUCAUCUUCCCGCCUUCAGAGAUCAGUUUGGGCUAUUCCUUGGACCGAUUUCAGGUUUUGGAGUGUUCUUUGACGAGAUUUGAGGCUAGGGUUUCAUCUCUGGACGGAUUUGGACUUCGGAUCUUGACGGGUUCCUCUCUGUUUGCGCGCCAUCUUCUGAUUUUUUCUCCUUUCCCGCGCGCCGAGGGCUUCUUGGGGUUAGUCUUCUCUCUUUGCCUACUCACUUCAGUUCUCCAAGCAUAUUUCCAUUUUUGGAUUUUAGAUGGCUCCUCGAAAGGAGACGGGUACUUCCAGAGCUCAGGGCAAGCGCCCUGCUGAGCCCUCUCAGCAGCCCGAGCAGACCGAGACUCGCCGAAAGGCGAGGUAUGACACCGCCCUCUUCGGCUCAGUUGAGGAUUAUCAAAGGUACAAGACGCAUUUCGCCAAGAGAAAGGUGGUUCCAGGGAGAAACAUCAAUUUCUUCCAACUUCAGAGUCUCGGGUUUGAGGGACUCUUCACCAGGAUGGGAUGGCUGCCAGUUGUGACGGUCUAUGAGCCUAUCUUUCCGACUUUAGUGCGUGCAUUCUACUCCAGGAUGACCUAUGGACUUGGAGGGCCGAUUACGACUACUGUCCGAGGAGUUGAGAUUGAGCUGAGUCCGGAGAGCAUUUGUCGCAUCCCUUGACGUUACUCCCGUUGGUCUUCGAGUAUAUGAGCCAAGACAUGUCCUACUAUCCCCGGGUUCGAGCCUAGAGAGGCCAUUCANNNNNNNNNNNNNNNNNNNNNNNNNNNNNNNNNNNNNNNNNNNNNNNNNNNNNNNNNNNNNNNNNNNNNNNNNNNNNNNNNNNNNNNNNNNNNNNNNNNNAAAAGAUCAACUUGCCCGAUAUUUUACUAAACCUCUAAGUGAAGAACAAUUUUCCGAUAUUAGAAGACACUAGGGGUAUUUCUCUUUGAUCUGAUGUUUGUAUAAUGAAUUCUUGUUGGAAAUGCAUUAUGAUUGCAUAAAUUUCAUCUCAUACGCAUCAUAUAGCAAUCCCUUAGAAAAUAGGUCAAUUUUUGACCAAAAAUCAAAAUUCCCGUGGCAUUGGACAUAAAAAAUUGGGGAUUUCAACUGAAAAGAGCAGGGGGAGGAUCACGAGACAAGAAUACGCAAAAAAAAUUGGAAAAUGAAACCGUUGACCGUUGACCAGGCGGUCGACCGGUUGAGGAACCGGUCGACCGGUUCGUCGGGGCUGGGAGUUUAAAAGGCCCCCGCGCGUCAGUUUUUUUCACUGUUCUCUGGCAUUCCUCGAAGACCCUUCAUCUUCCCGCCUUCAGAGAUCAGUUUGGGCUAUUCCUUGGACCGAUUUCAGGUUUUGGAGUGUUCUUUGACGAGAUUUGAGGCUAGGGUUUCAUCUCUGGACGGAUUUGGACUUCGGAUCUUGACGGGUUCUCUCUGUUUGCGCGCCAUCUUCUGAUUUCUUCUACUUUCCCGCGCGCCGAGGGCUUCUUGGGGUUAGUCUUCUCUCUCUGCCUACUCGCUUCAGUACAUAUCUCGAUUUUUGGAUUUUGGAUGGCUCCUCGAAAGGAGACUGGUACUUCCAGAGGUCAGGGCAAGCGCCCUGCUGAGCCCUCUCAGCAGCCCGAGCAGACCGAGGCUCGCCGAAAGGCGAGGUAUGACACCGCCCUCUUCGGCUCAGUUGAGGAUUAUCAGAGGUACAAGACGCAUUUCGCCAAGAGAAAGGUGGUUCCAGGGAGAAACAUCAAUUUCUUCCAACUUCAGAGUCUCGGGUUUGAGGGACUCUUCACCAGGAUGGGAUGGCUGCCAGUUGUGACGGUCUAUGAGCCUAUCUUUCCGACCUUAGUGCGUGCAUUCUACUCCAGGAUGACCUAUGGACUUGGAGGGCCGAUUAGGACUACUGUCCGAGGAGUUGAGAUUGAGCUGAGUCCGGAGAGCAUUUGUCGCAUCCUUGACGUUACUCCCGUUGGUCUUCGAGUAUAUGAGGCCAAGACAUGGCCUACUAUCCCCGGGUUCGAGCCUAGAGAGGCCAUUCAGAGGCUGUGCGGACUUGCAGAUGCCCAUGGGAUGGGCAAACCUUCAGCACAUAGCCUGACCGUGCCUAGCAGAGUCCUUCAUCAUAUGAUCUGCUCCAUCCUAUUACCACGGGGUGGACAUCGGGACGAGGUCUCCUACUAUGAGGCCUUUCUUGUCGACUCACUUCUCACCGGGAGGCGGAUACAUGUAGGAUAUGUGAUGAUGAGGCAUAUGAUGUUCUGUUGUGAGAGCACCACACGAGUGCUUCCCUACGGCCGCUUCCUCACUCGUGUCUUCAAGGAUGCUGGGGUAGACUUGAGUAGAGAGACAGAGUUUGAGGCACCUAGCAUCUAUGACACUUAUGACGAGCAUUCUCUGGGGCGCAUGAAGCUUGAGAAGGCCCCCGACGACUCCUGGGUUAGGAAAGCCGAGCGACAGGCCCGGGGACAUGAUCAGCUACACCCUGGAGUGGAGGAGGAGGACGAGAUUAGAGAGAUGGAGGAUGGGUUGGACCCUUAGAGGGACCUUGAGCAGAGAGGGCCAGAGCUUGACAUUCCGGCUCCACAUUAGUCGGAGGGCAUUCAUGUUGAGGCUACCUUCUCAGAGCCUAUGAUGACUGAGCCAUCAUUUACCGAGCUACCAUCUCAGGCUCCUCAUGCUCCUGAGCAUCCACCUUGGAUGGAUUUGUCGGCACAGAUUAGCUCUUUCGGGACUCGUAUGGAGGAGUUAGCUGUUGUUCAUGAUACUCGCUUUUAUUCCGUGGAGGAUCGCAUCGAUCAGUAUCAGGCCGGCUUCACCUCUCAGUUUGAGCAGCUUGCACAGAGGAUUGAGCGUCUUGAGAGCCGCCAGGAGCGUCUUGAGAGCCGCCAGGAGCGUCUUGAGAGCCGCCAGGAGAGUCAGCACGAGGAGAUGAUGGCUUACCUCCGUUCUGUGUUUCCACCACCACCUCCUCAGCCUUGAUUUUGUUUGGGAUCCCCCUUCGUUUCUUUUUUAUGUUGCCAAAGGGGGAGAUAUGUUAGGAUAGGGAACUUAGGAGACUUUUUCAUUUCCAUGCAUAUCAUACGCUUUCAUGUACUCUUGCUCUUGCUUAUAUAUGAUAUGUCACUGUUAUUGAUUUACAUUGUCUUCUCGCUUUAAAUUUCCUAAAUUUUGUGUUGAUUAUCCCAUGGUUGGUUUGAGGGGGAGAUUUCUCUGUCUCCUAGAUAACCAAGGUUUGUCAUCAUCAAAAAGGGGGAGAUUGUUAGCCCAAGGGUUCUCCUAAUCAGGUUUUGAUGAUAACAAACCGUGGUUAAGUGACUAAUUGCUUUAAAUUGUUAAGAAUCUCAGGUAUAAUCUCAAGGACCAAACGAAUACGGGAUAAAGACCAUUUGGAAGACUUGUGAUCAUAGGAAAUGAAUGUAAGAUGAUAGCAUGAGUGCACUUAGGAUGUUCAUACAUUUUUAUGCAUCUUAGAAAACUCGGUUUAUUCUUUAAAACUUGAUUUUCUUUAAAACCCGAGUUUUAUCAAAUAUACCUUAGGCAAAUUGACUCAAAAUUGACAUAUUAACUCUCCUAAAGACCUUGCCUAAGUAUUGGAAAAGAAAGAAAUAAAAAAGGAUAGGUUUUCAGGAUCAAAAGGCUCAUCCGGUCGAGGCUAUGGCCAACCGGCUCAACCGGUUGGGGAACCGGUCGACCGGUUUCCCUUGUCCGGUCGAGGUCCGGUCGAGGGAGACACAAAAACUUUCUCUCUCUCCCAGUAGCUUCCUCUUCCCGGUCGAGCCUCACCCUUUGUCCGGUCGAGGUCCGAUCAAAGUCCGGUCGAGGCAACGGUAACCUGCUAUGCAUUAAAUGCUCCAACGGCUAGUGAUCCGGUCAACCCUUUGCUCGUCCGGUCGAGGCUACUUUCUGCUGUUUUUGUCUCCCGAGCUUAGAAACCUAUAAAUUGAGAGCUCCUCUUCAUUUAUGAAAAAGAGAACAAUUGCAUUCAAAGCCUACCUACCUGUUCUUGAUCUAAAAAGCUCUCAUCUUCCUUCUUAGUGCAUUAAAACCAUCAAUUGCAUAUUCUUAGUGCACUCUUGCAAUUCAUCCUAGCCUUCUCUUGUACUUGAGCCUUCAUUAAGCUAGGUUGAGUGUUUCAUCCUUGUGUAAACUGAGUGUAAAAGCCUUCAAGUGGUACAAAUCUUGAAGAGAUUGUGUAAGAGCCCAUUGGAGCCGGAAUCCAAGUGUAAAACGAUUGAAAGCUUGAUUGUAGCUUCAAGUUAGUGGAACCCUCACUCGGUUAGGAGAUUGAGGAGAGUGGACGUAGGCAAGGGAGUGCCGAACCACUAUAAAUCUGAGUUUGAAUUCUCUACCUUUAUCUCUUUCCUUUAUUUAUUUUGUGCAUAAAUUAUUGUGUGGAAAAAGAUUUUGAAAAACCCAAUUCACCCCCCCCNNNNNNNNNNNNNNNNNNNNNNNNNNNNNNNNNNNNNNNNNNNNNNNNNNNNNNNNNNNNNNNNNNNNNNNNNNNNNNNNNNNNNNNNNNNNNNNNNNNNCCCCCCCCCCCCCCCUUUUGGGUAUUUUCCUUAAUUAUUCAUAGCCUUUGUUUUAUCACUAUGUUUGCAUCCUUCCGGGAAAGUUUACAUUUCAAGAAGUGUUAUUUUUUAUGAAAAAACAUUUCCCUACUCAUCUCUACCAAUGAAUGAUUCCAGCCCUACUCCACACACUUCCUCCACAUCUUUCUCUAUACCCCUUUUACAAACCAUGUCACAAACCUCUUCUCCUCCUUCCAUGUGUCCAACUGCAUCAAGACCAGUGUCCCCUUCUAUACCUUCACCUCCUAUUUCAGUUCCUUCCCUUCAUCCCAUGACUACUCGUUCAAAGGUGGGUACAAUCAAACCCAAACUACUCCCAGACCACAUCACAUACCUGUCUACUUCCGUUUCACCCUCAGACCAACUUCCUACCAUUGUUAGUCAAGCGUUGAAAAAUCCCAAUUGGCACACAGCUAUGGUUGAAGAAUAUCAAGCCUUAGUCCAGAACAAUACUUGGACCUUGGUUCCCUUUCAUCCAUCUAUGAAUGUCAUAGAUAGCAAAUGGAUUUUUCGUGUCAAAUAUAAUUCUGAUGGUACCAUCCAACGCUACAAGGCCAGACUAGUAGCCAAAGGAUUUCAACAAUAUGCAGGUGUGGAAUUUACUGAUACUUUCAAUCCAGUGAUCAAAGCCUCUACUAUUCGAGUUGUAUUUACAUUGGCUGUAACAUAUAAUUGGGAAAUUCGACAAAUUGAUUUCAACAAUGCAUUCCUCAAUGGAGAAAUUGCAGAGACUGUUUAUCUUUCCCAACCAGCUUGAUUUGUUAGCACAUCUCAUCCCCAACAUGUUUGUAAGCUACAGAAAGCGCUAUAUGGUUUUAAACAUGCACCACGUGCCUGGUUCCACAAGCUCAGGGAAGCUCUUCAUACCUGGGGCUUCAUCUCCUCCACGUCAGAUACGUCCCUGUUCAUCUACAAGCACAAUGGCAAUUUUCUUUUGUUGUUGGUCUAUGUUGAUGAUUUACUUAUUACAGGCAACAAUGCUCCACUUAUUCAAACUCUUAUUUAGGAUCUUCAGAACAGGUUUGCACUAAAAAACCUGGGUCUUGUGAAAGACUUUCUUGGAUUUGAAGCUCUUCGCACAACAACUGGUCUUCGUCUUACACAGUCAAAAUACAUGACUGAUCUCCUCAUUAAGACCAAAAUGCAUUCAGCUAAACCAGUUCUUACUCCCAUGAGUGCAGCCCUCAAACUUCAUGCAGCCUCGGGUCCUGCAUUUUCUGAUCCCACACUUUAUAGAAGCACCAUUGGUGCUCUCCAAUAUUUAACUUACACAAGACUGGACAUAGCGUUUGCUGUAAACAAACUCAGUCAAUACUUGCAGCAACCUAUUGAGCUCCAUUAGACAGCAUGUAAAAGAGUAUUACGAUAUCUCAAGGGCACAGUUCAUUGUGGACUGCACUUCACUCCAGCUUCAUCUCUGCAUCUUCAAGUAUACACCGACGUAGAUUGGGCAAGUUCAAUUGAUGAUCGUCGCUCUACAACUGGCUACUGUGUGUUUCUUGGCACCAAUCUUCUCACAUGGAGCUCCCGUAAACUGCCUGUGGUUGCAAGAUCCUCAACCGAAGCAGAGUAUCGCGCCCUCGCUCAUGCAUCAACUGAAGUAGCAUGGCUACGUUCUCUUUUUUCAGAACUUGGAAUUUCUCUUGUCAACACACCUAUCUUAUGGUGUGACAAUCAAGGUGCUGGUGCCUUAGCAGCUAAUCCGGUAUUUCAUUCCCAAACGAAGCAUAUUUGAAGUAGAUGUCCAUUAUGUUCGUGAGCAGGUGCUAGAUCAAAAACUAGUGGUAUCUUAUGUUCCUUCUGUAGAACAAGUGGCUGACUUAUUCACUAAGCCCUUGUCUAUUCCCAGGAUUCAAUAUCUGCUUACCAAGCUCAACCUUGAUGUUUCUCCAAGUUGUGCUUGUGGGGGGCUGUUAAGCUAACCAAAUUCAGUUAGGAAGUUAGCUAACCUGUAACUAUGGUCAGUUAGUAACUAAAGUCAGUUGGUAACCAAAGUUAAACUCCAGAAGUUUUGAUAUAAAAACAAAUGUAAAUCAAUCAGAUGAGUCAGUGAAAAAGCAAGAAUACAUUUCAGUUCCAGAAUUUCCAAUACUCUGUUUUUUUUUCGUCAUACUCUGUUUUUCUGCUUCAGCCCUGUUCUCUUCAUUUUCUCUUCAACAAAACAUUGCAUUAUUCCAUUUUGCAAUUUUAUUGGCUGAGUACAGAUUUAUGACACGUGAAAUAUAAAAUUUCAUGGAAGAAAGUGAUAAUAAAAAAGCUAUAGGAAGACAUUGAGCUUGUUGUAAGUUUAUUUGGGUUAUUUAUGCUUAUUUGAGAACUGUUUCCUUUCUAUUCUCAAUAGGAAAAAUAAAUGAAUUAAUUAAUCAAUUAAAUUUAAAAAUCAUGUUAAGAAAAAGAGUUAUUUAAUAUUUAAUUUCAUUAUAAAAAAUAUCAAAUAUAAUUAAAAUUAACAAGGAACUUAUAUAUUCUAAAAUUAUUUAAUAAGUGAAAUGAAUUUGAAAUAGAAUAUAAAAAUAUUUUAUUAAUUUUAAAUUUUAAAAUUUAUUUUUUAUUUUUUUAUUUUAUUUCUUUUAUAUUUUUCCUCAAACUUUUUGUAAUCAAACAAAAAACCACUUAAUAUUUGAAAGUUAAAUUUUAAAAGUGCCUUCAUAGUGUUAGUUGUAAUACAUUAUUUAUAUAUAAAAAAAAUGAUUUUACUAAGAAUUUUAAAGAAAUUAUCAAACACUUAGUUCUGUUUUGUUGUUGUUUUUGAAAACUGUUAUGGAAAACAGUUUCUAAUAAUAGUUUUUAAGAACACAUUUUUUGUGUUUUCAGCAAUAAAAUUUGUGUUUGGGAACUGAAUUCUAAAAAAUAGUUUUUGUUAUCAAAAAUAUAUAAAAAAAAAAAGCAUAUUUUGUUGAGUUGAUAAAAAAGUUUUAUAGAAUAAGUAAAACAAAAAACAUUUUUGAAAGUUUUUUUUAAUUAAUAAAGUGUUUUCUUCCAUUAACUUGAUAUUAUAAAUAUAUAAAUAAUUUUCAUAUACACAAUUCAUUUAAAUUUUUUAAAAAAUAUUUCAUUUAAAAUUUUUUACAUUAGUUAUAAUUUUUUUGAAUAAAUAAUGGCUUUGUCACCAUAUGCAAGUAUAUUAAUUUCAAUAAUUUAAGAAAGAAGAAAGGGUUUAUGAGUGAGGAUGUGGUAGUUCGGUGGAGUUCACCUUUGUGAAAACACAAAAAAUAGCUAAAAAAACACAAAAAGAAGAAAAAGAAAAUACGAAAAACAAUCUAUUCUUUUAGGAGUGAAAAAAUAAUGAAAACCUCUCUUUAUUAUUCUCAAAAAAAUGGUUUUUGAGAACAUAAAAAACAUAAGAAAAAAAAAAACAAAAACACACCAAUUUCCCCAAACAAGUUUUUUUAUGUUUUUUGUUUUCAAGAACAGAAAACGGUUCUUAAAAAUAGGAUCCAAACAUCCCCUUAAUUUCUAUCAUGAAACACUAUUUUUAAGCUCUUCCAAAAUUACUCUUAAAUGGGUUCUAUGAAGAUUUUAAAAAAUAUUAUCAAAUCGGCCUUUAGGUUUUAUUUAUUUAUUUAUUUAUUAUUAUUAUUAUUAUUAUUGAUUUUUGGGUAACAAUUUUAAUAUUUUCAAUAAAUUUAUUAACCGCAUGUCAUUUUCUACAUUCAUCGUAGGUAUUUUAUACUCUUUAAUUAGAAUCCUCAGUCUCAAUUUUUUUAAUAUAGCAUAUUAUUUAUUUAUUUAUUUAUUGUUUGCCUAUUUGUCUUACGUGGGAGGUAUUUGUGGGUCAUAAUGGGUUACAUGACAAAUCAAUUUUUGUCAUUUUCAGUAUUAAAAAAAGGAAAGUUAUCGUCUUUACAGUAUCCAUGCAAAAUGAAUUAUUUAUUUAAAGGAUUGAAGUUACUAGUUAAUGAUCAAAUCUAAUAUUAAUCAUAAAUUUUUGUCUUUAAAUUAUUUUCCAAAAUUUAAAAAAAAAAUCUUAAUUUUCUUCGAUUUGUAGCUCUUGGUGUUUUUUUUGUGCUUUAUUUGUUUAGUUAAUGAUGUAGAAAAGAGGGAAAACAACUUCAAAUUAUUUUUGAAAACAAUAAUUUGAGAAUGCGGAGAAUAACUUUUAAAACACAGAAAACAAUUGUCAAAUAUUUUAAGAGUGUUUUCUAUUCUCAAGAGGAGGAAACAGUUUUUGGAAACACUCGCUACUUACCCUAAAUUCUCGAAACAAAAUUUUGUUCCCAAUUUACCAUUUUUGCUGCAAAUUUUUCAUAGAGACAGAAGAAAAUGUGAAAAUAAAAUGGGAAGCAAACUCACAUUAUCAUAGCAUUACUGCAACAAACAAACAACACAACAUUUCUGAUGGCUUCAAAACUCAAAAAAAAAAAAAAAAAAAGAAGAGAGAGAGAGAAAGAAAAAACAUCUACACUACCAAACAACUCCUUACUAUUAUUAUUCACUAAAAGCUUCCCUUAUUUAUUCCAUUUCCACCAACCUCUUCAUUUUUAUUUACUCCUUUUGCAAGCCGAAAGCGGCGACCCGCACAGGCAGUCAUUGCCCUGGAACGCACUCGCUGGAAACUUCGACGGAGGAAGCCGACCACACAAAUGGUUGUGGCUCACAUUCAGCUUCUCCAACCCCGUUAUCCCCUCAGGCACCUUCCCGAAAACCAUGCUCCGCGACACAUCCAAGUACUUCAGCGUCUUCACGAUUCUCAGUUUCGAGAAAUCGAAUCGCAGCUGGUUGCCGGAGGCCCAAAACCCUACCAGGUAAUCGGUUUUGUUCAACAACUGGGUCGGACUACCUGUGAUUUCGUUUUCCGAGAGAUCGAUGUAGUCGUAGAAAUAGGUUUCCGACGGCUUCCAAUCGUCUAGUUUGAACUUGAGUCCGCAUUUUGCGAGCUUCAGUGAGUAGAUGAUCUCAGAUGAUGUGACCCAUUUUGGAAUUGUACCGAGAUGGAAAUGAUUGUACGAUAGAUCGAGUGAUUCGAUCCCUUUUACGGACAUUUCUGGGAAGGGAUCGACGAGAAAAUUGUGUGACAGAUCGAGGUUGAAUAUUUUUGUGAGCUUUGCGAAAGUUUUUGGCACAGUGCCGGAGAAUUGGUUCCAGGAAAGAUCAAGGGUAUCCAAUGCUGUAAAGUUACCGAGAAAAUCUGGGAUCUGUCCCACUAGGGAGUUGUGGCCCACCUCCAAAUAGGCCAAUUUUGGAGAUAAGCUUGAAAUGCUGUUCGGAAUUUUCCCGGAAAACUUAUUGUGAGAAAGUCGGAGAAUCCGGAGGUUAGAGAACGAGGAGAAGAAGUCCGGUAUGCUGCCGGAGAGCCCGUUCCGUUCGAGGCUGAGAAAGGUCAAGUCCUUGAGCCGGCUGAUGCCGGCUGGCACUGUGCCAGUGAGGAGGUUGCCACCGAGUUUGAGCUGAGUCAACCCAGUCAGCUGGGAGAUCGAACUCGGUAUUGGCCCGCUGAACCGGUUACCCUCAAAACUCAGCGCAUUGAGUUGGGUCAAGUUUCCGAUAUCUCGGCGAAGUGGGCCAGAAAGCUGGUUGUUUUCGAUGUAAACGAACAGGAGUUUCGGCAUCCCAAAAAGAAGAGCCGGAAAAGGACCCGUGAUGUUUCGGAGGUUCUGCAGGUAAAUUCCAUCCAAGUUCUGCACUUUCACCAGAGAAGGCGAGAUUGUACCGGACAAAAAGCUAUUCUGUUUACCAGGUUGGCCCGUGAGGGAGAGACUCGUGACCCGGUUUCCAGACAGGCAGGUGAUACCUGGCCAUUUGCAGCAGUCCGUGCCGGACUUCCAGUUUUGAAGCAUGCCGGAGGGGUCAUGGGUGAUGGCCGAUUUGAAGGCGAGGAGACCCAAUUCGUCGUCCACAUGGCAGGCAGCGGAGGCGGCGGUGAGGCACUGGAGGGUGAGGAGAGAGAGGAGAGAGAGGAGGAGGAAAAAGAGAGAGCUUUUCAAAGCUAACAUGGCGGUGGCGGUGGCUUGAAGAGUGGAAGUAGAAAAUGGUAUGAGCUUUCUCACUCUAUGGGUUUUUUAUACAAGAAAAUGGUUUGUCUCCACUCGUUGAAUGAAUCAUUGAAUCCCAUCUAGAAAGAGUGCAACUUGGCGGGUUGGCAUGAUAAGACUCCAAUUCAACCCGAGGUUUAAUUGCUUGCAGUAAAUAUUUUUAAUACUUAAGUCAAGAUUGGGAUAAGCUUUUUUUACCUUUACCCAAUUCAGGCGAGGCAAGAUCUCAACCAUUUUUUAAGUCUCACUCGAUUUAAUAUUUUUAUAAUAUUUAUAAUAUUUAUUAUUUUGUCAGUAGAACUCGAUUUAAUUAUAAUAUUUAUUAUUUUUUAUAAUAAUAUUUAUUUUUAAUUUUUAUUUUAAAUAUCAAAUUAUAAUUAUAUUAUAUAGUUUAGUUUUUUUAAGGAAUAUAUAUGAGAUUAUUUUUAAUUUUUUUAGUUAUUUUGAAAUUUUAUUUUAUUUAUUAUUUAAAUUUUAAUUUAUAUAUAAGUUUUUAAAAACCAUUGUGGAUGACUUUGAGUCAUGCAACCCGCGUCAACUUGAUUAACCCAAGUCUAACAUUAUCAACUCAAGUUUAACCCCACAAAGCCGAAUUUAACUUGAUUAAUGUGAAUUCAAUCCAAAUUUAGAAAAAUGAAGUUAACUUAGGAUUAGGUUGAGUACUUCAGGUUAAAAGUUGGGUUAGGUUCUAGUUAGCCAUCAACCCGAUCAAAUUAUAAUCCUACUAAAAACCAUAUAUGAUUUUAAUGAUACGGUUGUUUUCUUUCUUUCUCCAAUUUGACAUUAAAAUGGUAAUUACCAAUUAUCUAUGCUUAUUUGAGAACGGUUUCCUUUUUAUUCUCAAUAACAAAAAUUAAUUAAUUAAUUAAUUAAAUUUAAAAUUCAUGUUAAGAAAAAGAGUUAUUUUAUAUUUAAAUUUAUAAUAAAAAAUAUCAAAGAAAAUUAAAUAUAAUUAAAAUUAACAAAAACCACUUAAUAUUUGAAAGUUAAAUUUAAAAAAUGCCUUGAUAGUGGUAGUUGUUGUAAUACAUUAUUUAUAUAAAAAAAAUGAUGUUACUAAGAAUUUUAAAAAUGAUUUUAAAGAAAUUAUCAAAUACCUAAUUUCUAUGAAACACUAUUUUUGAGUUCUUCCAAAAUUAAUCUUAAACGGGUUCUAAGAACGAUUUUAAAAAAUAUUAUCAAGUCGGCCUUUAGCUUUUAUUAUUAUUAUUAUUGAUUUUCAGGAAACCAUUUUAAUAUUUUUAAUAAUUUUAUCAACCACAAAUCAUUUUCCACAUUCAUCCUAGGUAUUCAAUAUAUAAGUGCAAUCGUGAGACUCGUAAAUAUAUAUAUAUAUAUAUAUAUAUAUAUUUAAUUAGAAUCCUUAGUCUCAAUUUUUUUAAUAUAGUAUAUUAUUUAUUUAUUUAUUUAUUAUUAAUCUAUUUGUCUUAUGUGGGAGGCAUUUGUGGGUCAUAUUGGGUUAGAUGACAAAUUAAUUUUUGUCAUUUUUAGUAUUAAAAAAAUAAAAUAAAAUUUGGACUUUUCUUAUAGUUGGAAAGUUAUUGUCUGUACACCAUUGAUGCAAAAUGAAUUAUUGAUUUAAAGGGUUGAAGUUAUUAGUUAGUGAUAAAAUCUACUAUUAAUCAUAAAUUUUUGUCUUUAAAUUAUUUUCCAACAUUUAGAAGAAAAAAAAAUUCUUAAUAUUCUCCAAUUUAUAAUUCAAAAAGUAAUUUUGUUUAAAAAGCAAUUUAUAGUUAUUGUUUAAAUUAUUUUCGAAAAUUGUUUUGUAAGAAAAAGUGGUCAAUUGCUUCCCCCGUACUUAUUACUAACCCACCUUCCUCUUCUUUCAUUUCAUCGACCUUUUGCAAGGCGGAAAUGGAGGGCCACACAGGCAGUCGUUGCCCUGGAACGCGCUUGCCGGAAAUUUCGACGGCGGAAUCCGAGCACACAAAUGGUUGUGACUCACAUUCAGCUUCUCCAGCCCCGAUAUCGCCUCAGGCACCUUCCCGAAAACCAUGUUCCGCGACAUAUCUAUGUAGUUCAGCGUCUUCACGAUUCUCGAUUUCGACAUAUUGAAUCGCAGUUGGUUGCCGGGGGUCCAAAACCCUACUAGGUAAUCCGUUUUGUUUAACAGCCGGAUCGGACUACCGAUGAUUUUAUUUUCCGAGAGAUCAAUGUAGUCGUAGAAAUAGGUUUCCAACGGCUUCCAAUCGUCUAAUUUGAAUUUGAGUCCGCAUUUUGCGAGCUUCGGUGAAUAGAUGAUCUCUGACGAUGUGACCCAUUUUGGAAUGGCACCGAGAUGGAAGUGAUUGUACUACAAAUCAAGUGAGUCGAUCCCUUUUACGAACAUUUCCGGGAAGGGAUCGACGAGAGAAUUGUGUGAUAGAUCGAGGUUGAAUAUUUUUGUGAGCUUUGAGAAAGUUUUUGGCACAAUGCCCGAGAACUGGUUCCAGGAAAGAUCGAGGGUGUCCAGUGCUGUAAAGUUUCCGAGAAAAUCUGGGACUUGACCCGCUAGAGAAUUGUGGCCCAGCUCUAAAUAGGCCAAAUUUGGAGCUAAGCUUGAAAUGCUUUUCGGAAUUUUCCCAGAAAAUUUAUUGUGAGAAAGUCGGAGAACUCUGAGGUCGGUGAAUGAAGAGAAAAAGUCCGGUAUACCGGCGGAGAGCUGGUUCCGAUCGACGCUGAGAAGGGACAAGUUCUUUAGCCGACUGAUUCCGGCCGGUAUGGGACCAGUGAGCAUGUUGCCGCCAAAGUUGAGCUGAGUCAACCCAGUAAGCUGGGAGAUUGAACUCGGUAUUGGCCCGGUGAACCGAUUUCCCUCUAGGCUCAUCGCACUGAAUCGAGCCAAGUUUCCGAUAUUUCGGGGGAUCAGGCCGGAAAGCCGGUUGUAUUCGAUGUAAACGUAUUGAGGUUUCGACAUCCUGAAAAAAAAGAUCCGGAAAGGGCCCGAGAUGUUUCGGAGGUUCAGCAGGUAAAUUCCAACCAGGUUUUGCACUUUGCCGAGAGAAGGCGAGAUUGUACCGAACAAGAAGCUAUCCCGUUCUCCGGGUUGGCCAGUGAGGGAGAGAGUCAUGACCCGGUUUUCACCCAGGCAGUCCAUACCGGACCAUUUGCAGCAGUCCGUGCCGGGUUUCCAGUCUUGAAGCAUGCCUGAGGGGUCAUGGGUGAUGGCCGAUUUGAAGGCGAGGAGACCCGAUUCAUCGUCCACAUGCCAGGCGGCGGAUGCCACGGUGAGGCACCGGAGGGCGAGGAGGAAGAGAGAGGCUUUCAAUGCUUUCAUCAUGGUGGUGGUGUUUUGGAGAGUGGAAGUGAAGAACAUGCUUUGGGUAUUUUAUAGAAAAAAAAUAGUGUCUCCACUCUACAGAGUCAUUGAAUGAAGCAUGUCUGAAAAUGUAAGUAGGGAAGCACAAAGAUAAAGAAAAAAGGUCACGUCUGAGUUAACCAUGAGAUAUUAAGAGUGUUGGGAAAGUGUUUUUAACCUUCAGUAAACUUAAAAACAUUUAUUUUUCAAGCAUUAAAAAUAUAAAAAACAUUUCUCAAAAUCAUUAUCAAACACACCUUAAGAAAUGCAGAGAAUAUAAGUUCUGACAAACAAGGUAAACAUUGCAAAGCAGCAACAAUUGUGGAUUACCCCAGCAAAAAUAAUAUGCCAUGCACAUUGAUAAACUAUGCCAGAUACAAAAAUACAAUCACACACCAAGUAAAAUAACUGACGUGGUUUUUAAACACUAAAUCAAACCAUAAAACCCGGAGGAUGAACUAAGAAGUCUUUCAGAAGCAAAAAGUAGCUUAGAUCUGAGUUCAAGGAUGCUGCCUCUAAUAACAGAUUAAGGGUGCUACAACUGAAGGGGGCCUCAGGUCUGCGAUGACUUUGAUACCAACAAUGCAGUCAUAAAUUCACAAGAAAUGGGAUUUAGGAUUCAGAAUGGCUUCAUCUUACAAAAAUCCCAAUUACAGGUUCGUCUUCCAGAUUUAAUGUUAUCAAAUCUGAUAUACAGUGAAAAAUCCUUGUACUUGUAAGAUACUAAAAUAUAAAGCUACAAGGGUUCUUGUGGUACCAUAGAAUCUGUCAAGGAACUUAGCUCUAUUGUUGCAGUAUGAUGCUCGCCAAUAUCUUUUCAGUACCAUGGUCUUAACCUAAGCUCUGGAGUUGCCUACUGCCAUUAGCAUUGUUUUAAUGAGAAAGUACCCAAAACCAGUUGUCUUGGAAUUACCUACCUUAUUUUUAGUUCUGAUGCAUUCAAACUCCAUCAGUUUUAGUUAGUUACGACUUGAGAAAAAAGAGAGGGAGGACAAAAGAGAAGAGAAUGAAUUGGGAUUUUCUUUUGUUAGUUCAUAAAAUUAUGGAGUGGAAAAGAAUCAAAGACCUGCCCAAAUUCUUUUCAAGUAAUUGUAUAUAUUGUGUAUAAAAUGUCAUAAAUUUGCUUUUUGAGCUUUCAUGCCAAAUCACCACAACUUUGGGGGUGAUAAUUUUUGGUAUUUCCAGGAAGUAUUCUUCUAAUGGCCCACUUAGGCUUCUCUUUAUCUCCUCUAUAUGCUCAAAACCUAACAAGGGGAAAAGAGAUUCUGGAACUUCUCUCUUUGAGCCUUAGUCACGGUGCCUUUUGCAGAUAUUUCUUUAUAUAUAUUAUUGCUAGAGUGGAUGAGUGCUUACAGUUCAAACAACCCCCUCCAAUGGGUCCAGCAAAGUUGAACUCUGAUGAAUAUACUCCUUGGGUAAUCAUAGACAAUUAGGAGUGAUUAGAGAUCAUUUAGGUGCAGUAUUGAGAGCUUAUUCUAAGCAUGGAGAAAUGGGGUUGGCCAUUGAGGCUAAGAAAUUAGCAUUAUUGGAGGGAUUACCCUAGGCCUCAGAUUUAUGUUUAUCCAAUCUGUCUCUGGAAGGAGAUUCUGCAACUGUAGUAUCUUGGGUCUCCAAAAGAGAGACUCAUAAAAGUUUGACAACUAGAUACAAAAUAUCAUAGAUAUUACUAGUGAUUUGGGUUGCUCCUUUUCUUAGGUUCCUCAUUCGGCUAAUCAAGUUGCUACCCAGUUAGCCAAACAAGGAGUGAUGCGCUUAGUCUCUUAUUUGGCUAUUUUCUUCCCCCUUAGUAUAUGUUGUUUUAUAAUCUAGAGUACAUGGGUUUUAACCAACUAUUGUACAUCUUCAAAGGAUCGUUCGUCCUUCUUGUAUUCAUUUCAAAUGAAUGAAGACGCGUUAAAUCUGUCUCAACAAAAAAAAAAACCUCUCUUCAAUUCUCCUCUCCUUUUUAACCUCUUCUUUCUUUCUUUUUUCCCCAACCCCCCACCCCCCCCUCUUUUGGGAUUAAAAAAUAUAAAUUUUAUCAUCAUGAAAUAAAUAAAUAUAAAGAAGGAUGAGGAAUCCUUCCCCCAAACACAACCAGUACACUACUUUGAUCAAAAGUGAGAAGAACUAUCACUCUAAAUAUUGAUGGAAAUGCACAAUUAAAAAUGGUUAUAAACACAAACACAAAAAUUUUAGUGGGUAGAAAACCCCCUACAAAAGAGAUCAACUGAUUGGCUUCCUAUUUUGCUAACAUAUACAUCACACAGUUAGCUGCCCAAGGAAUCCAGCAAAAGGAAUACCAAACUCUAUCCUUCUUUUUUUCCGAAGGUAUGACAAAUUGCAAAUCCCCCUUUACCAGAAGGUUUGAUAAACCCUUAGCUGCUUUAGGCCUUCCAACAAAGCUAAUAUCUCCACCUCAAUGGUUAGACCAACUCCAGCACUCUUGGGGAAUGCUCCCACUAAUGUUCCAUAAGUUGUUGAUAUAAGAGAGCAAAAGUAGCAUAUAUUUGUUUCUUAGAAGAUAAUGGGGUUACAGCACAGCCAUACCACAUGAUAGAUUUGUCAUUUUACAUCACUGAACAUUAGAUCAUUGAUUCGAUCGAUGCCAAUAUCAGCCAUGGGUUCGAUGGGCUGCUCAUCUCCUAUUGAAGGCUCAAAGCUCAUAGGUUCUCUACUGUAUUCAUCUGGGGAACAAAUAACACCAUGUUAAAUUAAGAAAACUACAAUUAGGAGUUAAAUAGGGGACCAAAGACAUCUUGGUAAAAACCUUUCAAGCAUUGUUUGGUUUAUCCUUAAUCAGCAGACACCUUUUAAUCUUUGUUGAAUUUAAUUUUUUAAUGACAAUAAUUUUUAAGGGAAAGGGCGAGGGAGAACCUUUGCAAAUUUCAAAAACAUCCUCGUAUAUAUAUAACUAGAAACCCAAAGCUUACCAAACAUCGUGUUUAAGGAAGUUGGAGAAGGGGUCGCCAUGAAGUUGAGGCCAAUGUAAAAUCCCAAUGCUAAUACUACUGUCACCAUAGCAUAAGCCGGCACAGCUAAAGCCCAUUGCCUAGGAAGAAAAAACCCAAUCUGUCAAUUAAAUAGCCCAAAUAAAAUCCCAUGGUGAAUCCCAAAGAAGGCACAAAUUUCUGUGAUUAUAAGUUCAUAAAUUCCAGGGAAUUAUUUCUACCCCAUUUUGAAGUUGCUUGAAUUUCUAAAUAUGCACAAUUCAAUUUUGUUUACUUCAACCAAGUAUCACUGCAAUAUUAAGUGCCGAAUUACCCAUACAGUUCUUUUGAUAACACAAAUUAGUUAGUGCUAAAAAAGAUAAUAUUUCACUCCAAAAGGGCAUAAUUUCCAGCUACAGAGUUCAAAGGGGGGACUAAUUGGGGGUUUCAACACUUAUUACACUAAUUCAGGGUCAUCAAAGGCAGCAUCUUACUGACCUGUUAGGAUAGUAAAAGAUCCCAAUAGAAUGUAACCAGUGCUCAGGAACAUAUGCCCAUACCAGGAAAAUAACUGCUCAAAAUAGAACAAUGGAAGUGAAUGAGAAACUCAAAGAACAGAAAAUAUGAGGUUAAAUCACAUUAAUGAAAUAAUUAAAGUCUCUUCAUCAGAGGCCUUAGUCUUCGCAGCCAAAUAAUUUUGGGGCAUGAUGAAGCCUAAAUAUUGCAAAAUGAUAGAUGCAACUGGGCUAUAAACAAGGUGACAGUAUGACACAAAAGACACAAAACUUGCAUAUUAUAGCCUCAACAUUUUUCAUGUUCCUAUUUUGGCUUCCCCCGCCCCGCCAAAAUAUAGACAAAUAUGAAGAACAUCUAACUGGAAACAAGAGAUUGAACUCACACAAAAAUGGUGAGCCAUCAAUAAAAUCGUUAGAACCAUAAUGAGAUUCAGCUUGUCAAGUAUCCUAUGUGUUAAAAUGAGCUCUCUUUCUUUAGAGCAAACCUAGUGAUAAGAAAAUUACCAUCAUUUUUAACUGGUGGAUUUCGUGGCAUGCCAGAAGCAUCCAAGCAUCCCCAAAUGUUGUGCUUGAUUGUGUCAACUAUUGAAUAACCGAAUUAAGCUAUGAAUAAAGGUGUAGUUAACAUUAAUAAAACCCAGCAGUUAGAAUAAAGACUCGGUGAUUACGCAAGAAAAACCUUUGUUAUCCUUUCCUAAGUUCUUAAUUUUUUUUAGUAGGCUACUAGGCUUUGUUUCCCAACUUAUUUAUAGAUUGAGGGAAGUUGAUUAGAUAUGCAAACUUAACCAAAGCAAUCAAUAAUUAGGAAGCAUUAAAGAUAAAGGGACCUGUAGCAACAACAGUUGAAAUGGACCCAACAAAUCCAUAAACUUCUGCAGGCUUGGGACCAUGCUCUCCAGCCACACCGAACCCAGAAGACUUGUCAUCUGGAUCUGGGAAGGACACUGUUGCCCUUCUCUGUUUUGACAGACUAAGGAUUCUUCUGGGACUACUGACAGAAUGGCGAUCUUCCAUGUCUUCCUCUUUUAAACUUCCAGGCCUCCAGCUCAUGCAAAUCACAUUUUGAUUGAGAGUUGGAACAUGCAAUGGAUGCAAUCAGAAGUCCUGUUAAUAUCAAGUAGACACCAUAAAAUGAGUGAUAUCCUCAAUUACCUAACAGUGCAUUUGAUUGGUAGGAAUCAGGGGUUGGGAAUCGAAGUCUGAUUACUUCUAUCCCUUCUGGAAUAGCUCCUGUGCCAGAUAACUAUUUCCACAUAAAUGAGAUACCCAUAAAAUGUGGGUAUCCCAUUCCUUAAGGAAGGCAAGUGCCUGAUUCCCCUUCCUUAAGAAAGCCAAAAAUAACGAGUUCGUUCUGAGUGUGCCCAUGAGCUUAGGUCUUUCUUAUCAGAAACAACUUAUUGACUCAGAGAACAAAAUUACAAGGACAAGCCAUUCUUCCAGUGAAAUGGUUCAAAAACAUAACUCAAAUCUCACCCUCAAAGCCAAUUUCCACAAAAUCAGUGCCCUAGAAAGGUCCAGAUAAACAAAAACAGAUAUGCAUUGAAAUGAUUUUUUCCCCUAAUAAAAGAAAAAGAAACCCUUGCAGAGACCUUGCCGCAGGUAAAACAACGAACUGGUAUGAUCAGAUUUCGCUUUUGGUAGCCCUAACGUAGGCGUCUCCUCUCCUCCGUUGUGUUUAUGGCCCCCAGGUUAGAACUGUGCCCUAAUACAGGGUAUGAUGAUGAGUGGCGCCAAGGGUUUCCAAAGGAUUUUGCAGAAAAUUAUUAAAUAUAAAAGAGCCUGUUUCAACUGUUUUAAGAACACUUUUGGGUUAUCCGCCUUAAAAAAUUGAUUUCCAUUUUCUGUUAUUAAAAACCUAAAAAAUAUAUUUAGAAAACAUUUUCAAUUGAUUUCUCUUAUUUUUUAUAAUUAUUUCAAAAUUUAAUUUUAUAAAUAUAUAAAAUAAUUAAAAUUAAUAUAUUAGAUAUAAAAAUUAUUUUAAAAAUAUUAAAAAUAUUUCAGAGUUUAGAUUUUUGUUUUACAAAAUAUCAUACAACAGUUUUUAAAAAUAGUACAUAAAACUGUUUUUUAAAACUAAUUCUAAAAAUAAUUACAAUCUUACUUUUCAUAUUUUUCUUGAAAUCAAAAUUUAUAAAAUUCAUAUUAUAUUUAAGGCAAUAAAAUUUUAAAUUAUAGUCAAUAAAUAUCUGCUUCAUAUAGAAUUAGUUUAAGAAAAUUAAGCCUUAUUAUAUUUCAAAAUAUAAAUUAAAAUUUAUCACUUUUUAGACUUUGUUUUAUUUUUAAUUUGAAAUUUAUUUUAAAUAUCCAAUAUUUUAUAAUAAAAAAAUGAAAAAGUUGUACCAAAAAAAUAUGUUUUUUAUCCUUAUUUGAAAAUAUAUGAAAAAUAAGAAUUUAUCUCUAUAUAUUUCAACCUAUAUAAUGUGAUUAAAAAAAUAUUUUUCUUUAUAUAUUUCUUUUUUUUUUUCAAUGUUCCAAUCAAUAAUUAUAAAUACAAAGAACAUAUAAAAAUAAGCUGAGAAAUGUUUUUCACAUUUAAAAUUAGAAACAUAAUUUUAUUUUUAAAAAAUAAUUAAUAAUUAUCUUCAAAACAAUAGCUAACAAGCCUUUGGUUUUCCCUUUACUACCAAAUUUUUUUAUUUUAAAGAAUAAAAAAAAUCCUUAAUUUUAAAGUCAAUCACAUAAUAAAAAUACCUCAUUUUAAAUCUUCCAAAAUAAAAAUUAAAAAUCAUUCCGUCGAAAUAAUUAAAAUUUGAAAUUCAAGUAAAACCAUUUAUAAUUAAAUUUUAUGAAAUAUAAAUUGAUGAUAUAUUUUUAAAUCUACGUAUUUAAUGGUUUUUAAAUUUUAUUUUGUUACCAUCAAAAUCGAAAUUAUAAAACCCCUUGAUUGGUGUAAUGAUUUACUUUUAAGGGGCAAAUCUAAUAUUAAUAUUAAUAUUUGUCCUCGAUUUAAUUUCCAAAACUUUGGGUAUUUUUUUCUUAAUAUCUUCCCAAGGAAGGAUCUCAACAAAUAUUUUUCGGAUGGAAAAACUUUAAGACCUCCUAGAGAGGAUGCAGCGUUGCAAUUAAUGGUUCCGCGUUGUUCACGGUGGAACUUUAAGACCUUGACAAAUUGCACCGCUAUUAACGCAUGUAUGCGAGUAGAAAGAAAAUAAAGAAAAUAAAAAAGUAUAAAAAAAAAUUAAAAUUUACGUUAUGUUUUAUUUUAAGAAAACAUUUAAAAAAUAUUAUAAAAAAAUCUGAAAAUGAAUCUCUGGAUAACACUGUGUCUUUUAAAACAAUUAAAGAAAUGCUUAUAAUUUCCGGAUUUUUCCUUCGAUCUUUUUUUUCAACCUUAUGGACAAACAAGCUAAUAGCAAGUAGCAAUAGAUGUAUCAACAUUCUUUCAAACAAAUUAUUCAAUACAAGUCAUAUGCAAAUGAGACAACACUCCACAAACCUAAUAUAUAAAACACUGUAUCAAUAUAAAAGCGAAAUUUUCACAUACCCCUUGUCAUCAAUCAACGACUAACAUAUAUGUUGUUCUUUCAAAGAUUCAUUAUACGCAUUUCGGGUCAUGCUCCAAUUAAUUUAAUCACCAUAAUACAAUGAAAAAUAUUAUAAGCUCAUGAAAAUGUUAAUCAGAAAACAAAAUAAAAAUGAGAGAGAAUGACCCCAACUUUUUUAAUAUGGAAAAUCUCCGAAGGAAUAAAAAACCACGGACGAUCAAAUUAUCCAUUAUGAAGAAAAUUUAGUUUAGUACAAGGUUUUACCUUAACUUAAGUCUUUCAUCUUCUCUUAUUAGACCAUUUGUUUAGAACUUUCAAGUUUCAGCUACCACUAUUCUUAUUUAGCAAAACACUUGGAAUCCACUCUAAGCUUUGAUUUCGAUCUUUUCUUGAGUCUACAUAAAAAGAAUCUUGGGUUUUACCUUAAUAAAUUAGAUAUGAGAGUAAUACGAGAGCUAAAAUGAAGAACACAAUGAAUUAACCCGUUUGAAACAAAGAUUUUUAACUCUAAAACUGAUUUUCAAUUCAAAUCCAUUAAUUUUCUCACAAGGUAAACACUUCCCAAUAUAAUAAGAGAAACUUAAAGCUCAAAAACCUAGGAUUUUCUUUUUCUCAUAGUAGCCCUUACCACAUCUGGAAAGAGAGCUCAAGUAUUAAGGAUUUAAAAUUCAUUCAAUGGUUGAGAUUUGUUUGAAAAAUCAUGAAAAUUCGCAAGUGUGAUCGAAAUCUGAUCAAUUAAACAAGACUGAAAAAUUUGGGUUCAAGAAAAAUUGUGACUCUUUAGUUUGAUCUAUCAUAAAUCAAUCAAAAUGCUUUAAUAAGAACAUUUUUAUCAAAAUGAGACAAAAAAAAAAUUGAUACAGAAUUAAAUUUCAAAAAUUAAGAGAAACUUAAAGUUCAAAAACCUAGGGUUUUCUUUUUCUCAUAGUAGCCCCCACCACAUCUGGAAAAAGAGCUCAAGUAUUAAGGUUUUGAAACUCAUUCAAUGGUUGAGUUUUGUCUGAAAAAUCAUGAAUAUUCGCAAGUGUGAUCGAAAUUUGAUCAAUUAGACAAGAUUGAAAAAUUUGGGUUUAAGAAAAAUUGUGACUCUUUAGUUCGAUCUAUCAUAAAUCAAUCAAAAUGUUUUAAUAAGAACAUUUUUAUCAAAAUAAGACGAACAAAAAAUUGAUAGAGGAUUAAAUUUCAAAAAUUAAGAUAAACUUAAAGCUCAAAAACCUAGGGUUUUCAUUUUCUCAUAGUAACCCCUACCACUUCUGGAAAGAGAGUUCAAGUAUUAAGGUUUUGAAACUCAUUCAAUGGUUGAGUUUUGUCUGAAGAAUCAUGAAAAAUUGGAAGUGUGAUCGAAAUUUGAUCAAUUAGACAAGACUGAAAAAUUUUGGUUCAAGAAAAAUUGUGACUCUUUAGUUUGAUCUAUUGUAAAUGAAUCAAAAUGUUUUAAUAAGAACAUUUUCAUCAAAAUGAGACAAAAAUAAAAAAUAAAAAAUUGAUAGAGGAUUAAAUUUCAAAAAUUAGGUUUUUAUUGAUCAUUUUGAUCAAAUAACCCUAAUUUUUUAAACACUUUUUAGACUAAAAGUGACUCCUAAAAUUAAUAUAUAAAAAUUAUAAAAACCAAAAAAAAAAUUAUUUUCUAUAAAAAUCCUCCCUUGGCUUCUAUAGAAAACUAGUUUGAUUUAUUGGAAUAGUUUCUUAGAACUGAGAAACUCUUUUAUAAGAGAUUUUAUAAAAGUCUGGAUAAAUUUGUUGUAAUAACUUAUGAUUAAAGGAAAAAAAACGUACUUAUGAAGUUUAAAAAAUGUGCAUUCCCUUAGAAGCUAUACUUUCACUUAAAUAAGAAAUUAUCCCACGUUUAAUAAAAGUUGUAUAGAGCCAAUAUUGUCUUUUAAUAGUUAUGAUUUCAACUUUUGCUCUCCUUUUGGCCAAAGCCAAAACCAAAAUGUCCUCUCAAAAGUGACUUUCAAGACUCUUGGUUUAACUUCAACUUUGAUUACUAUUUAAAAAUAAUAACAAUAAGUUAAGGUUUGAGGUUUUUUAAAACGAUUCAUAAAAACAAUUUUUAAUUAUUGCAAUAAUAAAAUUUAAUUUGAAAACUCAAACAUAAAGAUUUUUUUUUCCCACAUUUUUCAUAAAAGUUGUAAUGAGUCGCUCUCAGUUGUAUAAAUAUUAUUUGCUCUAAGUUCAAUGAAACAUUCAUAACCUUUAAAUACGUUUACAUGAUUAAGAGAAACUCGUACAUAUGUAAUGAUAAUGAAUUACUUUUCCCCAUAUAGGUAUGGGGUCGUCUCUCACAUUCGAAUAUGAGAUCGAUUUAGUUUUAAAACAUUACAAAUGACCUAUUUCCCUGAUGGUAUAGAUAUGAAAAUCCUACGUAUAUAUAAUGACAUGAAUUUUUUUCUCUUCAUGAGAUAUCACAAAAAAAUUGUAUAUUUAUAUUUGAUGUAAAAGUUUUUUUAACUCAUUUUCAUUACUUAUAAUUAUUUUUUAUGACAUUUUACAAAAAAGACACUUCAAAUAUCUUAGAUUUGUUUUAAAAAAAACAUCAAAAUAGACUCUUAAAAGAUUGUUUUUAUUAAAAAAAAAUUUAAAUAUAAUUUUUUUGCAAGAAAAACAAAAAAGAAUUGUUUCCUAAUAACCUCUCAACAUUUUUCAUUACUUCCUUCUCCCAUGCUUUCUCACAAGCCCGAUGCUCACAAGGCAGGUCGAGGCCCAAGCCCAAGCCCAAGCCCACAUCAGAAGACCGGCCUUCCGACCAGGUCAUCCCAACAAAAAAAGAAUAAAAAAAGAAACUUCUAACCAGCAGAAAACAGGAAUGAAAUUCUAAUAGAAAGAAACAGAGAAGAAACAGAGGUGUGUGUGGAAAGCACCAAAAUCACACCCAUAAACCCCAAUUUCCCAAACCUCCACCCUUUCCACCAAGUCCAAAAGCCCUACCAAAAUCCAAAUUUCAUUAUUAUUACCACAGCCAUAGCCAUCAUAUUCAUCUUCCUAUCAUUUUCUUCACUCCAUUUCCAUCAUCACCAUGGCCCUCAACAUGAAAACCCUUACCCAAGCCCUAGCCAAAACCGCUGCAGUGAUCGAGAAGACGGUUCAGACCACUGUCCAGGAGGUCACCGGACCCAAGCCCCUUCAGGACUACGAACUCCUUGACCAGAUCGGCACCGCCGGCCCGGGACUGGCCUGGAAGCUCUACUCCGGCAAGGCCAGGGGUGGAUCCGCCGUGUCGCAGCAGUACCCCACGGUGUGCGUGUGGGUUUUGGACAAGAAGGCUCUGUCCGAGGCGAGGACGCGGGCGGGGCUGUCGCGGGCGGCCGAGGAGUCGUUUUUGGAUGUGAUUAGGGCGGAUGCGGGGAGGUUGGUGAGGCUGCGACACCCGGGGGUGGUGCACGUGGUGCAGGCGCUGGAUGAGAACAAGAAUGCAAUGGCGAUGGUGACGGAGCCGUUGUUUGCGUCUGUGGCGAAUGCGCUGGGGAGUUUGGAGGGGAUUGGGAAGGUGCCUAAGGAGCUUAAGGGGAUGGUGAGUCCAGAUUUGAGUGCCUAUUUAUUUGAAUUGAAGAUUUAGCUAAUGCCCGUAUGAAUUUGCAAUGCCUUUUGUGAUUCUAAUUUGAAUUUGAGUACAUAGUUUGUGAAUUGAAGAUUUAGCAGAAACUUAUUUGAGUUUGAACUUUUUCCAUUUUGUGAAUUCUCGUCUUAAUUUGCAACAUCCCCAUUUGAAUUGGAGUACAUAUUUGUUCGAAUGGAACAUUUAGCUGAAACCCGUUUGAAUUUGCAUUGCUUUUUGUUAAUUCCCGUUUGAAUUUGAGUAUUCUUUUGUUUAAGCUGAAGAUUUUAGUGGAUGCCCAUUUGAAUUUGAAUUGCUUUUGUUGAAAUCCAUUUGAUUUUGAGUAUUUAUUUGUUUGAGUUGAAGUUAAUGAACCUCCAUUUGAAUUUAUGAUGUUUUUUUGUGACUUCUCAUUUGAAUUUAAGUGUCUAUUUGUUUGAAUUGAAAAUUAUGUGAAAAACCAUUGGAAUUUGCAUUUUUUUUAAUGUGGAUUCCAAUAAGAAUUUGAUUAGCAAUUGUUUGAAUUGAAGAUUUAGUGAAUGACCACUUGAAUUUGCAUUGUUUUUUUUUUUUUUUUGGGUGAAUUCCCAUAUGAAUUGGUAAUCCGUUUGUUGACUCAAAGAUUUAGUUUGUGCCCAUUUUUUUGAAUUAAAUUAGAAGAAUGGCCAUUUGAUGUGCAUUGUCUUUUGUGUAUAAGUGAAGGUUCACUUGAAUAUGCAUGGUUUUGUGUGAUUUGGUGAAUGCUUGUGACUGACGAUGUAAAUUCGCCAUGGCAAUGGUGAUGGAGCUGUUGGUUGCUAAUGCAAUUGGGAAUUUUGAUAGUAUUGCAAGAGCACCAAAAGGGGCUUAAAAAGAUGGUUGUCUUGAACCUUGGCCUCAUUAAUUUAGCUUGAAAAACAAAUGUUGUGUCCCUGAUUUUUUCAUUUUUCUAAGAUUUUUGAAACAGAUGGGGUUGAUGUGGCAUGUGCAUUUAUGUAAUUGAUUGACAUCUCUUCUAGCUACCCCAGAUUGAACUAAAGCCUUCUCUAUGCAAAGAACCACACGUGUCCCACCCAUGUCAGAUGCGUGACACUUGCCACAUCAUUGUUUUCUUGUAAACAUGGAGGGGAAUCUGGCGUGAGAUUUCUCAACAAUGACAGGCAAACUGUCAGUUGCUUGAUGCUUGAGUGCUGUACUGGCUUCCUAACAAAGAUGGUUAAAACACUAGGCUUGGAAUGAUUGUUUCUUAAUUCGGGUUGAGAUCGUGUUAGCCACCAACUUGAACAACCCAUUGAGUCGCUGCAGUGGAUUUUGGGAAUUUACAUUUGAAUUGAAUACAUAGGUAUUUGGAUUGAAGAUUUAGUGAAUGCUCAUUUAACUUUGCAUUGCCUUUUUGAUUUAGUGAAUGCCCAUUGAAAAAUGUGCGGUUUUGUGUGAUUUAGAUAAUGCUUGUUUAGUUGAGUGAACAACAAUUUAAUUUUUUGCAAUGGUAGUGGUGAUGGAGCUGUUCUUUGCAUUGGUUGUGGAUAUGAUUUGAAAAUUUGAUAAUAAUACUAGGUGCCUAAGCAGCACAUGGGGAUGGUAGGUAGUGAUGAUGAGUUUUCUUUGAAAAUUGUGGAUUUUGUGGAAUUCUCAUUUGAGUUUGAAUACCUUCAAGAUUUGGUGCAUGCCCAGUUGAAUUCGUUUUCUUUUGUGUGAUGUAUUGAAUGCCAGGUGGAUAUGCAUGGUUUGGGUGACUUAAGGCACACUCAUUAACUAAAUGAAUUUCCAUUUAAAUUGGCAUGUUUUUUUUCCCUCUCCAUAUUGGUGAUUUUUAACCAGUGGCCUCCUAAAAUUGCAUUAUUUUAUCCAUUGAUUUCUUGUCUGUUGUUGGACUGAUGGUAUAUGCUAGCUUGAGAAUUUGAUUGUGUAGUUAUCUGUUGUGACUAUAUUAUAAACUUCAUAACAGAACCACAGUUUUCUUCUUCUCACCCUGAUUUUCAAUUCCUUAUGUCCCCCCCAGAAGGAAAUGUAAGUCAAGGUUUCUGGGAUUAACUAUUCUAUAUUCCCCACUCAUCUUUUGUGGAGAAAUUGUUGUUGUUCUGAGCUCUGGCAUGCAUUAUGAUUUAUUUUAACCUUUGCUAAUCAUAAGUUACUGAAAAUGUUUUUUCUGUGCAGGAAAUGGGAUUGUUGGAGGUGAAGCAUGGUCUGCUCCAGGUUUCAGAAACCUUGGAAUUUCUUCAUAACAAUGCUCGUCUUAUUCAUCGGGCUAUAUCACCUGAGGUUACAAAUUCUGCAUUUAAAAGUUAUUUUUUUCCUCAAAAUAUGCAAUAGCCAGACUGUAUAUAAAUUUGAAGUGGAUUUCCUAAAGAAACACUAUUACUCUGAACUUUUAUCUUGAGAUAGAGAGUCUCUAAUCCCUCAUUGGAUUAUUUACUUCCCAUUCAUUUGACAAUUGUUUUUUUUUCCGGUAUCGCUUAGUUCUCUGCUGACUGCAUAACAUUUAUCUCCAUAAUUUAUUGUUUCAUGCCUUCUUAUGGUUUGUCUCUCCUGGAUGGAAAAUGUAGGAGAAUUUAUGAAAUCAUAACUUCUGAGCCUCCUAGAACCUGAAAAGUUUAUGCUUUUAUGAGGAGUUGUAUUAUGAAUUGGUGUUUGCAUUUCACUGCUCGACCCUGGAGAUUGUAGUUGUUCAUUUUAUGUUGGAACCUGAAUUCUAAUAACCAUUUUUUGCGAUUCAAGAACCUUUGGUAUUGAUUCUUAUAGCAUGCAGAAUUCAUUGGAUGUGAAUAUCAAGUGCCAAAGUGUUUGUUGUUGCAGACUGUCGUCAUUACUUCAAGUGGAGCUUGGAAACUCAGUGGAUUUGGCUUUGCAAUUUCUUCAGAUCAGGCAUCGGGUGAUUUAGCUAAUGUGCCAGCCUUCCAUUAUGCUGUGAGCGAACUCUUUGUUAGGGUUAAUAUCUAUUAGUUUUUGCUUCCUUAUGAACACUGUGCUUUAAAAUAAGUUGUUUCUAGGAAAGUUGCUUAGAAAAAGAGUUGGUUUUAAAAAUGGUUUAAUGCAUUUGGUGUGAAUUUUGAGAUCCUAUGUGAUUAUGCAUGCUGCAUAAGUGAUCCUCAUCUUACUUAUUGGUCACUGUUUACAGCUUGAAAUUCUUCUUCUUCUGCAACUUCAUCAUCAAAGUUUUUAUGAAGUGAUCAUAUCCUUGCACUAGAGAUUUCUUUAUUAUUGUGUUAGAGAAUGUUAUAUCCAUGAAUUGUCUGGCUAUUAUUUCCUGAUCAAUUUGGCCUGUGCAGGAAUAUGAUGUUGAGGAUUCAAUACUGCCCCUUCAGCCAGCACUGAAUUACACUGCUCCUGAACUGGUUCGGAGUAGAGGAUCUCCAGCUGGAUCUGCUUCUGAUAUUUUCAGUUUUGGAUGCCUUGCCUACCACUUGAUUGCUCACAAGCCUUUGUUUGACUGCCACAACAAUGUGAAGAUGGUACUCUUUGCUCUAACUUUUGACAUGUUUUCCCAGGCAUUGAAGUACUUACAGCUUCAGUUCAUUUUGAAACUUUUUACUUUUAUGCUUCAGUUUGUUAAAAGAUUAUCAAACUUUUAGCCACUUUUUGCCUUUUAUUUUUACAUGUAUAAAUUUGGGAAUGCAUAUACCCCAUAAUCUUUUUCUUUCUUAUUCAUUUCUUUUAAAGCCGCUUUAUUGAUGGUUUGAUUGAGAUGAGUUGAUCUUGACUUUCAUCUUUUUAUACGUCCAUAAGAAGAACAUUUAGCUUCCUUCUGUAUCUUCACCUGAUUCAAGAUUGUACUGACUGAAUUGUACCAAAUAACUAGGAAAUCAUUAUUCCAAUGGCUAGACUUUUCUUUGAUAUAUUUUCUAUUCCUAAUUGUUAUGGUAUAAGAAGUACUGUAUUGUAAAGGGAAUAAGGAAUUGGAAUCUCCUUGCCAAUCUAUGGUACAUCAAUGGGAGAAGAAUUCCUAAUUCCAUCCCCUUGCCCUAACUUGAUUUACUGUGCUGAAAGGAGGGCAAAAUUGUCUAAACCCGUAUAUUUAUAGUUGGGUUGAAGUCUGAUGUGAAUAACAUUUUAUGGUUAGCAAUUCAUUUAUUUUUAUAUUGGCCUAGUGGCUAUCUAUAUCAUUUUGUCUGCCCAUCUAUCAAAUUGGAAUAUGUCAAGAGUCAAAACUUCUGUUAGUUCUUCAUGGAGCUCCAAGUUUUUGCUGUGGUAACUUUGAAAAUCUAAUUUUUGAUCAUUCGCUGAAUUUUUUUUUUUGAUAGGCAAAGGUCAUUUAUAUUAAUGGAGCCUAACAAAAGGGUGUACAAAAGCAUGCAUGAUGCAUACAAGGGUGCCAAAAAGCCAAAAUAAAGUGGACAGGCACACAAAAAAGCCACCAUGCCUUAUAUAGAGCUUAACUGCUCAAGAAAGUCCAUCAUGGACAAAAUAAUCAUCUAUGUACACUCUGAUCCAUUCAAAAAACUAUACAUCAAAGAUUGUUUGAUCGUUUGAUCUACUUUUUUAGAGUUAUCAAAUUCUCUCCUAUUUCUCUCCCUUUAGAUGGUCCGAAAUAAGCACGAAGGAAUAGUUCUCCAAGCUCACUUUCUUUUCUUCCCAACGAAAGAAUCAUGACAACUAAAAAGGGCAUCUCUCACUGAGAGUGUAUUACCCACUCUAUUCCAAAAAGAGUAUAAAUUAGUUGUCACAAAGUUAUUACUUUUGAGCAGUGAAUGAAGAUUUCUUCUUUUUUUUUCACACAGAUCGCAUCUGUUCGGUAUCCUCAAACCCCUUCUUUGGAGCUGAUCUAAUAUCAAUAUUUUAUCCACGUAGCUUAUCAUACAAAAAAAGCUGACCCUCAGUGGUACUUAAGAAUUCCAAGUAAAACUGUAAAGGAAUGCCUCCAUUCUUCCGAAUGAUAAAGAAGAAAAGAGAGUUGAACAGAGAAAAUACUGCUACUGUUCAGCCAAACCAUUUUAUCCUCCAUAUCCCUACUAAUAGUUUGUGUUUGCAACUUCCUAAAUCUGUCUUGUGAACCUAGGGUUCCAAUAACCCCGCACCUCAUCUUGGUCUCAUGCCUUAGCGACCAUGCAUCUUUGGCAGUGGCUAUGGGAAAUAACUCUGGAAAAGCCUCUCUCAAGGGUAUUUAUUUUUAUUUUUUAUUUAAUUUUUUGAUUUCAUCAUCUGUUACCUAUGAACUGUUGUUGAAUGCAUCCUGAAGGACACUGGGAAGUGGUUUUGAAUGGGCAUAUCUGUUGGAGGCAUGUUGGUGGUUGUUUGUCUUGGGCCUUAGACACCUUUGUGUGGAAGAGAUCCAAUAGUUGUUGUCUUUUGGGUAUUUAGGGGUGAAGUGGACCUUUGAAAUUGAAUGACGGGGUUUGUAAGAUUUUUGACCUUUUAAGUUCUUCAAUUAUUCCUUCUCUAGGAAGCCUAGGUUGGCCAAUCAGGUAGCGGACUGUUUGGCUAAACAAGGAGCCUUAGGGUUGGAAGCUUUUGUUGGGAAAACUUUUCCUUGCUGAACUUUUUCUACUUUUCUUUUCUUGUGGUUACUUUUGGUACUUUUGGUGUUGAUUUGUUGAGUGGUUCCAACGUUCUUCUUUCUUUGUACUUUCACAUUUCUUAUUAGCUAGGGUUGUUCCCUGUAAAUCAAUGAUUAUUUAAGUUGAAUUUAAUUUUCUCCUUUUAAUUCUCUCUUCAACUAAUAAUGUUUUUCUUCCUUGUUCUUUGGUCCUGCAGUACACGAAUAGUUUGACUUAUUUAACCAAUGAAGCUUUCACAUCUAUUCCCCCAGAGUUGGUUCCUGAUUUGCAAAGAAUGCUUUCUACAAAUGAGUCUUUUAGGCCAACAGCUUUGGAAUUUACAGGUACAUAAUCCUUCAUGUGAAGUUUGUUGUUGUAGUGUUCUUUUUCUUUUCCUUUUUAAGUAUUGUAGACUACUUUAGAAAAAGAUAAGGAGCCUUAAGGCUUUAGGAUAUGUACACCUUAUAAAGUUGUGUUUAUAAUAGGGGUCUCCUUACCGCAUUUUGAUUUCUCUUUCUAUUUUCUCCACUCUUUUUUUGGGUUAAAUUUUAGUGUUCCAUGUCGUGUUUGAUUUUGCUUAUAUAUAUAUAAGGUGUACAUAUCCUAAAGCCUUAAGGUUCCUUAUCUUUUUCUAAAGUAGUCUACAAUACUUAUUUUCCCUCAUCUUUGGAUAUGCUAUAAUGAUAAAUAAAGGAUUUGGUCAAUGAUUCUAUAAUAUUGUUUUUCUUGCAUUGAAAUUUUGCUACCCUUCAAAUUAUGCCAAAAGAGUUUUCUCUGGUCAUGACAUUUGAGAUAUUCAAUCUCCUAGCACCCUUGAGCUCAAAUGAUAGACUUCGAGUGUCAGUGCCUUUGGAAUUUUCCCUUCUUUCCAGACUGGAUUAGUUGCUUAAUGAUGUAUGGUUCCACUGUUUAUGUGUUAAAGAUAAUGACCAUCCAUCAACCUUUCAUCGUAAUUAAGUGUAAGACUGCUGAAAUCGCGAAUUUCCUGUAAAGAAAUGAGACAUGUUCCUGGGAUUACAGUUGGCUGUGUGGUAGGUUGGACCAGGUCUUUGUUUGGUUUGUGUUGGUUUAGUGGCUUAUUAAGAAGUUGAAGUGCCAACCAGUAAAUUUUAAAACUUGGUGGAUUUAGGUGGGUUUGUGUUGAUCUAGAGGUUUUGUAGUCUACUGUACGAAAUGAUAUAGAUAUUAUCUCAAGUCCUUUACUGAUUUUUAUGUUUAUGUUCUUUUCAGGUUCUCCAUUUUUUCGAGAUGACACUAGGUUGCGUGCUCUUCGCUUCUUGGACCACAUGCUUGUAUGAAGUUAUAUUUCUUUGGAUGUCACCUGCUUUUGACAUAAGAUUACUAAAAAACAUUGUGCAUGAGAAGGAAAAAUAAGAAGUUGGUGGCAAUGGAAUCUGAGUAACAAAUUUUAUUUUUUUGCAGGAAAGGGAUAACAUGCAGAAGUCUGAGUUUCUAAAAGCAUUAUCGGAUAUGUGGAAAGAUUUUGACUCUCGUGUUUUGCGUUAUAAGGUUUGAACCACGUGUUGUCUCAUUGCAAUGAUCUUUGUAUCUAUAAUGGAUGGUUCCAAACAAAUUCAUGAUCAGGGCCAUAAUGGGUUCAAUUGAUCAGGUGGGUUUGAUGGUUAUGAUUAUUAAAGGGUACUUAGUAACUUGGAGAAAGCAAUGAAGGGUUUGGCCAAAUGGAUUCAAGCCGUUACUAGCUGGACUAGGAAUAUGUGGAAGGAUUGGUUGCUGCCAAGUGGAUGUUCUAGAAGUAAUGAAGGAAAAUCCAAUUAUUUUAGGACUUUUGUGUUAAUUAUUUUUGACAUUGGUGGGGGCUCUGUUAGGGGUGUGGAAUGCAAUGGAGUGGGUUCAGGACCAAGGAUGAAAAUAUCGGUAAUCAUGGAUAUAUCAGUACUUGGAUUUUACGGAUAUAUCAGAUAUAUCAGAAAUAUAUCAAUGGAUAUUUUAGCACAAAAUAUCGAUAGACCAAAAAUUGAUCAAAACUUAUGAAAAUGUGAGAAAAAACUCUUAAAAAUGAAAUUAGAAGUAUAAUAGAUAUUUUAAAAUUGUUUGUUGAAGGAAUUGAUAUAUGUAUGAUAUGAUUUGGGAUAUUAAAUUUAAUUAUAUCGUGUCGAUCAAUAAGAAAUGUGAAUUUUGUAAGUGUACACUCAUUAUGAAGUUAAAUUAUUACAAAUAUACUAAUUAUGUGAUUCAAAUAUAUUAUUAUGCUAAGUUAAUUUACUUACACCUAUUGAAAAUAUAUUAAUUAAUUGUAAAAAUGUGCUAAUUUAAAUUCAAUGUUAUACUAAUUUAAAAAUGUACUAAGUUAAUUUAUUCUCAAUAUACUAUUAUUACACUUGAAUAUCAAAAUAAAAUAAAAUAAUUAAUUUAAAACUAAAUUAUUGCAAAUGUACUAAUUAUGUGAUUGAAAUGUAUUUAUGAUUUUUAUUUAAAAAUAUUGGUACAUUUUGACGCAAAAUAUUUUUAUUUAAAAAUAUUGAUAAUUUAUUUAUGAUUUUGUAUUUGUUUUAUAUUUAAUUAGUAUACAAAAUAAAUUAUAAGAUAAUUAAAAUUAACUUAUUUAUAAUAAUUUAAUUUUUUACGGAUUUUUCACCAAUAUAUUCGAUAUAUCUUCGAAAUUUCAACCAUUUUUUCCCAUUUAGUGUCGAUAUUUUGUUUGUAUCAUUGAUAUAUCUGUGAUUACCGAUAUAUCGUUGAUAUUUAUUGAUAUUUCCGUUAGACGAUAUAUCUUACCUAUACAUCGUAUCCAUUUUCUCCGAUUCAUGAUAUAUCGGCGAUAUAUCGCCGAUAUAUCCCGAUAUUUUUGUCUUGUUUAGGACCAAGGUUUGGACUCUAAGGAUAAUGCUUCAGAUGGACUAAUCUGGGCAUGAAGUUAGCAGGGCUCUUUUGUAUUGAAACCGUUUAUACUAUGCCUAAAGAGACCUAAAUCAUGUGACAUGCUUAGUCCUGUUGGCCUUUAUGUUGCAGUGUAGGAUAUUAUCUUUGGGGUGGAAUGGGCAAAAAAUAAUGGGGUAGGUUCAAUUGCUGGUCAGCAAUAUUUGGGUGUUUUUGAGGUGGAGGGUUGAGCAGAGCAUUCCCAGUGAGAGAAAUGAUGAUGCUGACUUAAGGAAAGGCUUUUCUGCUAGAAAUAUGGAUCAUGGUGGGUUUUCCAGCAAGGAAACCUGCAGAAAUGGAUGAGGACACAUUGCUUUAUGAUUGGGGUUUGUGGAAUCUAUUAUAGUUAACCUUGAUGGAGAGCCCUUCUUGGGCCGAUGUGGCUCAGAGCACUUUGGGUUUGAAUUGAGUGUUACUGGACCUUCAAUCAAGUUCAGAGUCUGGUGGGUCUUAUGGAUUCUACUGUUGAGGAGAUCGUUACGUUUGAGAUAGUCUUGCCUGGAUUUUGCCUUGUGCAACUCUCGGUUCACAAGAAAGUUACUGGGUUGAGUGCAUGAUGGGUUUGGGGGUUCAAAAAGAUAUUGAGUGGUGUACAAUGGGGAAGGAGAUCAAAGUCUGAGGGAUGAGUUCUUUUUUGCAGUGAGAAUGAAGCAGAGAGUUUGUUGAAGCCCUUUGAUUGCUGUGACCAUGGUGCAUCCGUUGGUAGGAGUGGCAGGUUCUGGGGGAGAGUCUAAUGGAUACUCGAUCUCCUUAGGAUGCCAGUAUGUUUGGGGAGGGUGUUAAGAUAGAGGCUUAUUUGAUCAGCAUUUAUAACAUUAUAGUGAAUGUGUUGGAUUGGAGGUUGAAGGUUGGCCUCUAGAUUAAGAAUCCAACCCCUAGAUUUAAUUUGCGAAUCAGAUGAUGAGAAGCUAAUAAUUUGGAAUGGGAUUUUCUUCCCUAUAUAAUGAGAAUUGCUUUUGUGGACAAGGGAAGGAGGUGCAUAAUCUAUUGCAGAUUAUUUACAUGUUUAAAAGUUCUAUAGGCAUUCAACAAGGAAGCACUCUUUUCUCACCUAUGUUUAAAAGUUCUAUAGGCAUUCAACAAGGAAGCACUCUUUUCUCACCUAUUUAUUAUGGGCAUGAAAAUUUUUUGUAGGUCAAUUCAAAAGUCAGUUGCAGGGAAUUUUAUGAAAGGCUUGAGAUGGUUGGGAGAGAAGGUAUCAAAAGGGUUACAAGAUUAGGGUGGGAGAUGGGAGGCUGAUGGAUUCUUGGAAACAGCUGCAGUGGGACUGCUAUCUCCUGGGUGAAUUCCUGUAUCUUUUUUCUUAUGGUUUCAAGUAAAGUGGUUUAGGUUUGUGAGUGUGGUGGAAGUGGUUAAAAGUUUGGAACCAGACUGACUUUUUCUGGUGGUUUUUAUUGACAUUUUGAUCCCUUGGGCAUAAGGGUGGUUGGAUGAGUGUUCUUUUUUAAAGAAAGGAGAGCAGAAUCAGAUAACUCUAUCUAAAGUGUUUUCUUGCCUUUUGGUUUGGAUAAGUGUCUGGGUGUGGAUGAUAAAUCGAUAAAUAGAAGCUGGGCCAUCAUGAAUGGGUAGAUUGUGUUAAGAAAAUGUGAGUUGGUAAUAAUCUUUUCUUUCUUUUAGAUGGAUUAAAAAAUUGUGGGACUCUGUCUUCUUCCCUUUUUUUUUUUUUUUUUCCAUUUAGAUUUAGUUGGUAAAGCUGUCAUUGGCCAGUAAAUAAUGAUGUGGUUGUUUAAAAGAGCUGGAAAUGAGAGGAACUGGGGUUGUUUAGGGUUUUGUUCUGCAUCCUAUGUUCUCAUGUAAUUGGAAGGAGGAAAUGUAAGGAUAUCUGGUACUAGGAACUCCCUAUAUUGGAAUGACCUACAUUGAAAUCGAAGUUGAUUUUUUCCCCCUUUAUUUGGUGUAAUUUGGUUGGAUUUGGGGGGUUCUUCUUGGAUUUAAUGUUCUUUUAUCUUGUAAUUUUGUUUUCUUUUGGUUGUAUGCCUUAUGCACACAUGAGCUCUAGCUCUUUUCCUUUGAUCGGUAAUAGAAUAUGUUUCUUAUAAAAAUAUUUGAUCCCUCUUGGUGCUCUUUUAUAAAAAUCAUUGAGCAAGAGAAGGUUGAUAAAUUUAGCUUCAGGAUAACUAAAAAGCGUUAUUUACUUGCAUGUUUACCAAUGGUUUCUUUUCUCUAUCUUAUGGGUGGCCUGAUUCCAUUACAACAUGAGCAAUCUAUUUGGUUGUAAUCUGCACAUUUGAAAUUGACGUCCGAUUUUGCUGUCAAUUAUGCUGCAACUUCAAGUUCUUGGUCUGUUUAGUUUAAUGAAUCAUUCAAAUGCCUUCAAUUAUUGCUUUUGGAAGGCAUGAAUAGCUUCAAUGAAGAGAUUUUCCUUUUAUGUUUCAUGUAGGUGCUUCCACCUCUUUGUGCAGAACUUCGAAAUUUGGUGAUGCAACCAAUGAUUCUUCCCAUGGUUCUCACAAUAGCGGAGUCUCAGGUAUUAAUUUUGCUUGCAUGUGAUAAUGGAUAAGUUGUCUUUGACCUUUCUUGAGCAUGAUUGCACUGCUGUCCUAUGUAGAUAACCAUUGAUGUCUUAAAAUAUAUUGUAGGAUAAAAAUGAGUUUGAGUUAUAUACUCUGCCAGCUCUUGUUCCUGUCCUGAGUACUGCUUCAGGUGAGACACUAUUGCUGCUUGUGAAGCAUGCAGAGCUUAUCAUCAACAAGGUAACUGAAAUUUGCUGCUAUUUCUAUUUUAAAUCCUUUUGCUCGCUCUCUCUCUCUCUCUCUUAAUCUCCUUUUCUCUUUCCUAUGCCAUCUGAAAUUCAUUAAGAUUAUAAAGGUUAAAAGCCUAAUUGGCCAUUACAGCUACUGAUUGUUUUUUUUGUUGAUAAAUGAGCGCAAAUAUAUUAAAGGGCGGAAAGCCUCAAAGCAUACAAGUAGUAUACACAGCAGCCUAGAAGCAAAAACACAUAAACAAAACACUCACCACCCCUUAAGGAACGGCAAGCCAUUCCAAAAAACCUAAAAGCGAAGAGGACUCCUCUCCCAUAUACACCCUAGCCCAACUCCACAAAUUACAAACAAAAGAAUUUUUCAACUUCUGAUUACAGCUACUGAUUGUUGACUUGAUAAAUAUAUGAAUAUGGAUAAAAGUGAUGGAUAUCAAAGGUUUGGGUGUGAAGUGUCUUUCCAUACUCAAUAAGGCUUUUUUGAGCAAAUGGAAUUGGCGCUUUGCUAUUGAAAAGGGGCCUCUAUGGAAUUGUGUUAUAAGAGGGAAGUAUGGGGAAGAAGAAGGGGGAUGGUGCACCAGGGAGGGGUUUGGUGUUGGUCUUUGGAAAGCCAUAAGGAAGGAGUGGGCUUGUGAGUGGUAGGAUGCCUUUCUUGGUGGGUAAUGGGUGGAAGGUUAAGUUUUGGAAGGAUAAGUGGUUUGGGAAUGCUUCUUUGGGCAGCUCUUUCCUGCCCUUAUUUACCUUAGCAAGUUCCAAGGAUGUGUGGGUGGCAGAUGUUUGGGAUUCUUCUGUUCCAAGGGGGGGCGCGGGGGGGUUUGUUGGAGCCCUUGUUUCUCUAGACCCCUCAAUGAUUGGGUGGUUGGAAGUGUGGAGAGGUUUCUCUCACGCUUGGAUUGAGGGUGCAUAGGGAUGAGGAAGAUAUGAUGCUUUGGAUAGAGACAAAGAAUGGGAAGUUUAUAGUGAAGUCACUCUAUAUUGCUUUAGAGUCGGGACAUCAAGUUCUUUUCCUUGGAGCAUAAUAUGGAAGGUGCGGGUGCAACCUAAAGUCAGUUUCUUCACUUGGAAGGCGACUUGGGGAAAGAUAUUAACUUUGGAUCAAAUUUAGAAAUGGGGGAGGUCCUUGGCGAAUAGAUGCUUUCUAUAUCAUAUUGAGGAAGAAUCUAUAGACCGUCUCCUUGUCCAUUGUGUAAAGACAAGGGUCUUGUGGGAGUUGCUUUGUGCCCUUUUUGGGGUGUCUUGGGUGCUACCUUCGUCGAUUAGAGAAUCACUUUUAAGUUGGCAUGGUUCAUUUGUGGGCAAGAAGUGUAGGAAGGUCUAAAGGGGCCCCUUACACUUAUUUUGGAUAGUUUGGAAGGCAAGAAAUAGAAUUGCCUUUGAUGAGGAUGAGCUUUCGAUCCAAACUCUAAAAAGUUUUUUUUGUUUGUCUUCUUUGGUCAGAAGCAAAGUGGUGUAUAAAUGAUGUUCCUUUAACUCUUGUUGGUUUUAUCAAUUGCUGGGGCUCUAGGUGAGGGUGGGAGGGCUCAAGGCUAGUGUUAUCAAAGGUGAUGCCUGGGCUGCCUAGGCCGUCAGGCCAGACAGAGUAGAUGAAAGUCGCGUUUUGAAGACCUAUUUAAGGUGACUUAACAAUCACCUUGGGAUAAGGCACAAGGCAUAGAGGCGGUCACCUUUGACCAUGAAUUAAGAUUAAACAUACUUAGAUUAAAAUUUCAUUCAAUCUACCAUUGGAUUAAACAAAGUAUAAGAUAAAAUAUUAUAUUAUCAAUCAUAGAGAUAAUAAGAUGGAGGGUUAUCAAUCUAGUUUUGAUGGAAGUAAUGACAAUUUUAAUUUCAAUAAUGACUAUGAUGAUGCCGACUAAAGCUUCUAGAAUGUUCAAUCUCUUAUUUUGUUUUUUAUUUUGCUUUUUAGAUGUUUGAAAAAUUAGAAUAUACAUUUAGAUAGGUUGAAUAUCUUUAAACAAUACGAUGUUUUUUUUAUAAUAUGGGG